UUAGAAUCACUGCCAAACGCACUUCAAGUAUGAAAUAAGAUUUUGAAGCACAACCAUUGUGUUCUUGAGAAUUUGUUUAAGUAAAGCUUUAAGAUGCAUGUGCUUAACAUCCUAUUUUGGUUAGGCAUGAAUUAUAUUGGGCUAUAUGAAAUUUCUUUGCUGCACUCUCAAUUCCAAAGAUUAAUGGGUGGUUCUGUUACCACAGGUAUUGAACCUGCAGCAGCAGUUAAAAAAGAUGUUUUUCCAAAGGCACAAACCAAGGGAGUAACUGGAAGUUUCGGAAGAUUAAAAGCCCAGAGAGUGAAAGCUCUUACCACAAAGACAUCUAAGGCAAAGCGAGAGCUUAAUGAAUGUGAUGAUAAUGAACUAGAAGUAGAAGGUGCACCCUCCCGAAGAUCUAUUGGUUCACAUUCUGAACUUGAAUUCAUGGAUGAAAAGAAGAAAUUGCUCAUACAUGGAGGAAAUGCUUCAAGGGCUUUCAGAAGACGAGAAAUCAAGGAUGUGAUUCAAACAACAGGGGAAAUCAAAGAUAAGAUCCAUUCUGAUAAAACUGUGAAACGUGACAUUGGGAAGUUCUCAGAGCUUCAAAUUACACCAGAAAAACCUCACAGAUCUGACAACAAAAUAGCUGGAGCAGAUGUUCUAGUUCCAAGAGUUUCUACUGCUAAUUUACAAGGAUGGGGUUAUGGGGAGACCAUGCGUAACUUUGAAUUUGAAACGACUAACAUUCCAAAGCGACGGGGAAAAGGAAACUCAUUGGCUGACAGUGAUUUUUUCAGCGGAAAAUCCUUUAGAGACCUAGGGUGCAGUGACUAUAUGAUUGAAUCCCUAAGGGGUCAGCUUUUUGUACGCCCUUCACAUAUUCAGGUAUGCGAAAGUAAUGUCUCCUGUCCCUAUUAUUGCUGUUGUUAUCAUUAUUAUUUUAUUUAAAUUUCUUUGCUGAAGGGAAAACAAGCUAAGUAGUUAAUAUUACAGGGACAGAGUUAUAAUGCACUUAUCCUGCAUGUAUAGAACUUGCUUAGUCAAUCAAAUGUGUACUGGUUCACACGUUAUGCCCAGAAACAUGCUGCUCAUGAGAUCUACUUUAAAUCUAACAUGUUUGCCUUACAAUGGUUGUUAAUGAUCCAGUGUGUGGACUUCAUUUCAUUUUUAUAUUUUAGAGCUUCUUACCAGCAAAGAACUCAUGUGAGAUUUUAUUCACUCAAUCAACUUAAUUGCACUUGCACCACCCACACCAAAAGAAAAAAAGAAACAAGUUUUUCUUCUUGUUCUUUUUCUUCCUAUUGUUUUAUUGAUUAAUUAUCUAUUAUCUAUUAUCUAUUAUCUAUUAUUUAUUUUGGCUAGGGUGGACUCUGAGAUUCAUGCCAUAGUUACAUUUUUCAGCUUUUGGAGAUUGCUAUGAUAGUUAUUUUGUAUCCUGAUGGGUAUCCAACUUCUAAUAUGUGUUAUUAUUACAUAUUCUAGAUUUUAGUGCCUCCUUAAUGGGAACCUUCAUAUAUGUUUUUCAAGUUGCAAUUUAAGGAUUCAGUUCAUUUGUACUCUGUUGCAAUUUUCUGUAAUACAUAUACAAAAUAGUAAAUUUUCUUAGAGCGCCUGAUACUGUCAACAUACUGGAUUGUGAAGUUCAUGUUAAGAAGUGUUGCUAUAAGGUGUACAACCAAAAACCUUAUUUUUAAAAUUUAAAUUUAAAUUUUUUAAUUUUUAAUUUUUAAUUUCAAGGUCAAAGCUCUUAUCUGUCCAUUGAAUCACUUAAAAAUCCGUUCCCACAUCUAGUAAAAAUGUACCUAUUUGUUAAAUAUGAUUCAUAUUCAUGGUUAACAUAUUAAAUAAUUGCAGGCCAUGGCGUUUGCAACUGUUAUGGAGGGAAAAAGCUGUAUUAUAGCUGAUCAAAGUGGAUCAGGAAAGACAUUGGCAUAUCUUCUCCCAGUAAUUCAGCGUCUUAGGGAAGAGGAGCUCCAAGGUCUGGGCAAGUCCUCUGCAGGAUGCCCUCAAGUCGUUAUACUGGUGCCAACUGCUGAGUUGGCUUCUCAGGUCAGUUUCUGUACAUGGUUUACUUUGACUUCUUACUCUUCCCAUACAUUUAACUGUGUUUCUCUGCACAGAAAGACCUAGCUAGACCCCAUAAAAUUAAAAUAUUAUUUCAUGCUUGCAAUUGCAGAGUCUAAAGAAAUACUCCUCACAUUUGAUCAACCUUGAGGACUUUUGAACGUCGUUUAACUGAUAGGAAUCUUUUUUUUUUUUUUUUGAUCAGUAAACGGAAUAUAUUAACACAAGACAAAAAAGCCACAUAGCAUACAGGCAGUAUACAAAGCGGCAAAGGCCUCACAACCAAAAAGAGAGAUAGGAAUCUGUUGAAUAUAAUGUAUGUAUAGUAUACUAUCUUUCCUUGUUAAUAUAGGUCACAUGUAUGGUAGUUAGGACUCCUAGCCUUGUAUAUAUAUAUCUCUCAAUUGUAAGUAGAGAUUAGAUGAAUGAAAAUAAGGUUUUUCUCCUUUCUCUCUCUCUCUCUCAACAUGGUAUCAGAGCCAAAGGAGAAAACCUAAUUUUUCGGUUUAGCCGUGUACUCAAUUCCGGCGAACCCUCUCUUCCCGAACCACCCCGGACAACCUCAUCGCCGUCGGAUCUCCACCACGCCGGCAACCCUUUCCGGCGAAUUUUUCCGGCGACCUCUUUUCCGGGCACCGACCACAUAUUCCGAACCGCCGGAGGCUGAUCUACACGCCAGUGGAAACCCCACCGGCAACCGGAGUCUCACGCGCCCCCACGCGCCGAUCUUCCCCGUCGGACUGUCACCCACGCGCCGGCGCGUGACGGCGCGUGGCUCACUUUCCGGCCACGUCCGACACAUCUCCAGGCUCGUCCGGCGGCGUCUUGGCCUUCUAGCCCUCCGGCAGCCCCCCCCGAGCCCUGCAUCUCCACCUUUUGUUCUUUUUUUGGCUUUCUUGCCAUUCCGACCACAUCUGACAGGGCUUCCUCUCCAUCUCCGAGGCUUGGGUACUGCUUCUCUUCCUCUCCAGGCACGUCACGACCUUUUUCUCCGUUGAUUGCACCUCUCACAGCCGUGGUCUCACUGUUUGUCUCUCUCCGCCGAAAUCUGCACCCAUCUUAGGGCUCUCUUCGAUCCAAAUACGUGAAUAUGACCAUCAAAAAUCAGAUCUUUACCUCUGUUCUCUCUGGAUCUCCUCUGAUUACCUCAGAGAAAUUGAUUGGCAGUGAGAAUUAUCUCUCCUGGUCUGCCUCUGUUGAACUUUGGUUUAUGGGUCAAGGAUAUGAAGAUCACUUGGUUACCCAGGAGGCAGAUAUCCCUGAGGUUGACCGCGUACAGUGGAGGAAGAUAGAUGCCCAGUUAUGUAGUGUAUUAUGGCAAUCGGUUGAUCCCCGGAUUCUUCUUCAUCUUCAGGCCUAUAAAACUUGUUUUAAAUUUUGGACUCAGGCCAAAGGAUUAUACACGAAUGAUAUCCAGCGUCUCUAUAAGGUGGCUUCUGCUAUUGUCCAUCUCAGCCAACAGGACUUGGAUCUAUCUACUUAUAUUGGUCAGAUUGCCUCUCUUAAGGAGCAGUUCUUGACUGUGAUGCCUCUUACUCCUGAUGUUGGGGCUCAACAAACGCAGCUUGACAAGUUCUUCAUGGUCCUUACUCUUAUUGGCCUCCGUCCGGAUCUUGAGCGUAUUCGUGAUCAGAUUCUUGGUAGUUCAUCAGUUCCGUCCUUGGAUGACGUGUUUGCUCGCCUCCUCCGUCUCUCGUCCACACAGACUUUGCCAUCUGCUAGCGCUUCAGAUUCUUCUGUGUUAGUUUCUCACACUACCUCUCGAGGAGGACGCAGUGGUACCCGAGGUAGAGGCCAACGUCCUCAUUGCACCUAUUGCAAUAAACUUGGCCACACUCGUGAUCGUUGCUAUCAGUUACAUGGAAGACCUCCUCGCACUGCCCAUAUGGCCCAGUCCUCUGAUUCUCCGCUGCCUCAGCCUCCGAGCUCCUCUGCAUCUCAGACAUCUCAGGCUUCUAUUGCCUCUGUUGCCCAGCCUGGUAAUGCCUCUGCUUGCCUUACCCACACAUCGUCUCUUGGACCCUGGAUUCUAGAUUCUGGAGCAUCUGAUCACCUAUCUGGUAAUAAGGAUCUUUUCUCCUCUAUUACUACUACCUCUGAUUUACCUACUGUUACCUUAGCUAAUGGUUCUCAAACUGUGGCUAAAGGUAUUGGUUUGGCCCUUCCUCUGCCUUCUCUACCUCUCACUUCUGUCCUUUAUACUCCUGAAUGUCCUUUUAAUCUUAUUUCCAUCAGCAAAAUCACUCGUACUCUUAAUUGCUCUAUUACCUUUUCUGAUAAAUUUGUGACCUUGCAGGACCGGAGUACGGGGAAGACGAUUGGCAUAGGACGUGAGUCUCAAGGCCUUUAUCACCUCACCUCAGAUUCAUCUCCUGCAGUUUGCAUUUCCACUGAUGCUCCUCUCCUCAUUCACAAUCGUCUGGGCCACCCUAGUCUCUCCAAGUUCCAGAAGAUGGUUCCUCGUUUUUCCACUUUGUCGUCGCUUCCGUGUGAGUCAUGUCAGCUUGGGAAACAUACUCGUGUCUCGUUCCCAAAGCGUUUGAAUAAUCGGGCAAAGUCUCCUUUUGAGCUUGUCCACACUGAUGUUUGGGGUCCUUGUCGGACUGCGUCUACUUUAGGAUUUCAGUAUUUUGUCACUUUCAUUGAUGACUAUUCUCGAUGUACUUGGUUAUUUUUAAUGAAAAAUCGAGCUGAGUUAUUCUCUAUUUUCCAGAAAUUUUAUACUGAAAUCCAAACCCAGUUCAAUAUUUCUAUUCGUGUGUUACGCAGUGACAAUGCCAGGGAAUAUUUUUCAGCCCAAUUUACUUCGUUUAUGUCUCAUCAUGGAAUUCUUCAUCAGUCUUCUUGUGCUCAUACUCCUCAACAAAAUGGGGUAGCUGAACGCAAGAAUCGACAUCUUGUUGAGACAGCUCGUACUCUCCUCCUCCAUAGUCACGUUCCUUUUCGUUUUUGGGGGGACGCUAUUCUUACCGCUUGUUAUCUGAUUAAUCGUAUGCCCUCCUCUGUCUUACACGAUCAGAUUCCUCACUCCCUUCUUUUCCCUGACCAACCACUUUAUUUCCUUCCUCCUCGUGUCUUUGGUUGUACUUGCUUUGUUCAUAUUCUCACUCCUGGACAGGACAAGCUUUCCGCCAAAGCCAUGAAGUGCCUCUUCUUGGGAUAUUCCAGACUUCAGAAGGGUUAUCGUUGUUAUUCCCUUGAGACUCAUCGGUACUUUAUCUCCGCUGAUGUCACCUUCUUUGAGGACUCACCAUUCUUUUCUACCACUUCUGAGUCUCUUCCCGUUUCUGAAGUCUUGCCCAUUCUCAUUGUCUCCCCACCUGAAGCUAUGCCCCCUCGACCACUUCAGGUUUAUCAUCGUCGCCCGCGUGUCGUUGCUCCUCUCCCUUUUCCUGAGACACCUGCUGACUCACUUCCUAUCCCUUCGGCUUCACCUGCCCCGGCUCUGCCUUCUCCUCAUGACUUACCCAUUGCUGUUCGGAAAGGUACUCGCUCUACUCGUAACCCUCAUCCUAUUUACAAUUUUUUGAGUUAUCAUCGAUUAUCUUCACCCUAUUCUGCUUUUGUUUCUGCUAUAUCCUCUGUUUCUCUUCCCAAGAGCACCCAUGAAGCUCUUUCCCAUCCAGGCUGGCGACAGGCAAUGGUGGAUGAAAUGGCUGCUCUGCACUCUAAUGGCACUUGGGAUCUUGUUGUUUUACCCCCUGGUAAAUCUACAGUUGGUUGUCGUUGGGUCUAUGCAGUUAAGGUUGGUCCUGAUGGUCAGGUUGAUCGCCUUAAGGCCCGCUUAGUUGCUAAAGGCUAUACUCAAGUUUAUGGUUCUGAUUAUGGUGACACAUUCUCCCCUGUUGCCAAGAUUGCUUCUGUCCGCUUGCUUCUCUCCAUGGCUGCUAUGUGCUCUUGGCCUCUUUAUCAGUUGGAUAUUAAAAAUGUCUUCCUUCAUGGUGAUCUUGUCGAGGAAGUUUAUAUGGAGCAACCUCCUGGUUUUGUUGCUCAGGGGGAGUCUGGUUUAGUGUGCAGGUUACGCCGUUCUCUAUAUGGCUUGAAACAAUCUCCUCGAGCAUGGUUUAGCCGUUUUAGUUCUGUUGUUCAAGAGUUUGGCAUGCUUCGCAGUACAGCAGACCAUUCAGUUUUUUAUCAUCAUAACUCCUUGGGGCAGUGUAUUUAUCUGGUUGUUUAUGUGGACGACAUCGUCAUUACAGGCAGUGAUCAGGAUGGUAUACAGAAACUAAAGCAACAUCUUUUUACCCACUUUCAGACCAAAGACUUGGGAAAACUCAAGUAUUUCUUGGGAAUUGAGAUAGCUCAAUCCAGUUCUGGUGUGGUCCUUUCUCAAAGGAAGUAUGCUUUAGACAUCCUGGAAGAAACCGGUAUGUUAGACUAUAAACCGGUAGACACACCUAUGGAUCCGAAUGUCAAACUUGUACCAGGACAGGGGGAGCCUUUAGGAGACCCUGAGAGAUAUCGACGGCUCGUAGGUAAAUUGAACUAUCUCACCAUUACUCGUCCAGACAUUUCUUUUCCUGUGAGUGUUGUUAGUCAAUUCCUACAGUCACCAUGUGAUAGCCAUUGGGAUGCCGUAAUCCGUAUUCUUCGAUAUAUCAAAAGUACACUAGGCCAAGGUGUAUUGUACGAGAACAGAGGUCAUACUCAAGUUGUUGGUUACACAGAUGCAGAUUGGGCUGGGUCACCCACAGAUAGACGUUCCACUUCAGGGUACUGUGUUUUUAUUGGAGGUAAUCUAAUAUCUUGGAAGAGUAAGAAACAAGAUGUAGUGGCCAGAUCUAGCGCUGAAGCCGAGUAUCGAGUUAUGGCUUUGGCAACAUGUGAACUCAUAUGGUUGAGACAUCUUCUUCAGGAGUUGCGAUUUGGAAAGGAUGAACAGAUGAAACUCAUCUGUGAUAACCAGGCCGCGUUACAUAUUGCAUCCAAUCCAGUCUUCCAUGAAAGGACCAAGCAUAUUGAAGUUGACUGUCAUUUCAUUAGAGAGAAGAUCGCAUCAGGAUGUGUUGCUACAAGUUUUGUCAAUUCAAAUGAUCAACUAGCAGACAUCUUCACUAAAUCUCUCAGAGGUCCUAGGAUUAAAUAUAUUUGUAACAAGCUUGGUGCAUAUGACGUAUAUGCUCCAGCUUGAGGGGGAGUGUUGAAUAUAAUGUAUGUAUAGUAUACUAUCUUUCCUUGUUAAUAUAGGUCACAUGUAUGGUAGUUAGGACUCCUAGCCUUGUAUAUAUAUAUCUCUCAAUUGUAAGUAGAGAUUAGAUGAAUGAAAAUAAGGUUUUUCUCCUUUCUCUCUCUCUCUCUCAACAGAAUCUUUAAGCAUUAAAUAAAUAUUCUCUCAAAUAAACUUCAUUGAACACAAAUAAAACAUAAAAUGAGCUCUAAAUUUCCCCUUCUAAACGAAACAGAAAUAUUAUUAGAGAUAAAUAAAAACAUCAUUACAUAGAAGGAUGAGAUAUCCUUCACAAAUUUUCUUCAAAUUUCAACCUCAACCUUCCUUAAUCUCCUUGAAGUUAGUAAGAAAAUAAGAAAUGUUGUGAAAUAGAAUGCUACAUGUGAGUAAAGCAAUAGAUUCUAUGGUACCUAAUCAUUUAUAAGUCAAUACUCUUCUAUUUUUUUGGCUUUGUUAGAAAACCCAUCCACUGUGAUUUUUACUCAAGUAGCUUCUGAAAAGUGCUAUUCUUUAACCUGUGAGGAUAUGAUACUUAGAUUUUCUUUUAUUCUAUUAUUUAAUUAGUAUCUCUCUUUAAACAAUAGGAGAGACUCGAACUUGAGACCUCUAGUUAAACAUUGCUCUUCUACCAUGUUAAGCUGUUUGCUUUAUUAAAAACUUAACCUGUUAGGAUAUGGACACACAAUAUAUGUGAGGCUAACAUAUAUGAAAUAUAUAAAACAUGAGUUGGUGAGGAAAUGUUUUCAUUACCAAUGAAGUUUUCUAUGCAGUAGAGAACUAACUGUCACAACCAAAUGGAUUUCAAGGGUGAGCUAUAUAAGGCAACAAUUGUCUUUUGACAUUAUUGGGAUAUUUCCCCCAAAACACUUCAUCUUCAUGGUGGUAUGUUUGAGGGAUGUUUUGCUCUCAUGCUUUGAGUGACAGCAUUGAACCAUGGGGUUUUGUCGAGUUACACUUAUUGUGGGUGAUUUUAUGAUCUAUGUUGCAUAGAUGUGGAAACAAUGACAUGUCUAGGAGAAUCCUCUUUGUAGUUGUGUCCUAGGAAUAUCAAAUGUAGUAUCAAAGAGGAAACAACAUGUUUAUUUUGAAUCUUUCAAUGUGUUGAUUUCUAAGCUAAGUGAUUUUGUCAUUCUUAAAGAUUCCUCAUCCAUUAGUAAUAGUGUAAAUCUGGUCCUAUUAAGACUUAAUUCAGCCUAAGUUACUUGAUAUUCUUUGUUGUUAAAUGACUUAUCAAAAAAAGAUAUUCUUUGUUGUUAAAUAUCUAAUAGUUUAAAAUUUUGGGUGAAAUUGUUAGUUCAUCUUGGUAUUAGAGCCUUAUUUGUUAGGUCAUGAUGGGUUCAAACCUUUCUAGUUGAGGUCAUAAUUUGGUUAUGUACUUUCCCUAGUUAUUAAAUUCACAUGCAAGUGAGGCAAGGUGUUAAAGCUUUAGUCCAGGUCAGCUUGAUGUACACCUUUAGCCUAUUACCUAACAACUUAAGCUUUUUGGUCAAAUUGGUAGCUUAAUAGUUUGAAACCUUGUUUGAAAUUUCAGACCCAAGCCUAACCGUACCCAACCACUAGGCCACCUUGAGGACAGGUUAAGGCCCCCUCGCCAUUCACCCAUAUGAGUUAUAAAUGGCCUGGAUCCCAACUUGGUUUGAGGCUUGCCAGGGCCUUGAAGGGGAGCACCCAAGCUUGAGUCUAGAAGCUGAUGCACAGUUUAACUUGCCAUGUUACACCCCUAUCUAUCAGUUUAGUCACAAGCCUGCAGAAUUCUAUAUUCAAAACCCUUCCCAUACACAUUAGUUAGUUAUCCUUCAACCUAUCUCUCCUUAAUAUGCCUUUGUUGAAAAGAUACAAAUGACUAAUGCUGUUUCAGCAUAGACAAAAGAACAUGGAUAAGGAGUUUUAGUGUUGGAAAACUGAAACUAAUAUGGAAAGAAAUAACUUUGUAAAGCUGUAAAUUAUUUAUUAGUUGUCAAUCUUUGUAUUUUUAGGAAAGUAAUUAUUAGGAAUUAUUUAUUACUUGUCAAUCUUUGUAUUUUUAGGAAAGUAAUUGUUAGGAGUUAUUCUUUCCUUUUAAUCAGUGAUUUAGUUUCCUAAUUUAAAGGAUUUGUAUAUGUUGUAAACUCUAUAAAAGAAUAAUCUCAAUGAAAGAAAAUUAUUCCCAUGAAACCCUAUUCUUCAACUUUUAGACAUGUGCUUGAGGAGUUAGACAAGUGUGAGCGUCCAGACACCAACAUAGCCACACUCUGAAAAUGUCCGUGUUGCUUCAUUUAGGAUCUAGAGAUGCAAAAUUCAGAGGCAUUCAAUUGUGGCAGGCCAGGUGUUACAUUAAGCUGUAGUAGUGUCUCAGUACAUGUGUAGGUACUUCCUAAAAGAUGGUACAUGUGCAGGUUAAUAUAGGAUUUAUCCAGGGAACUUCACCAUGCUUUUGCACUCCUAAUUUAUAACUUUUCUAAGUUUAUGAAAGUUAUAAAGUGGGCUAUGAUGGCUGCAUAGAUGAGCAGAAUCUGACAUUAAUUUUAAGCCUUUGCAGUUCGCAGAAAUAGUUUUUUUGGGUGUCAGGAAAUCAUAUGUAGCCGAAAUGUUCAUUUUAAACUAAGCCUCAUUUUUUUCAAUCCCAUUGGAUAUGUGCUCUUUCACAAAGGUUGUUUUGUCAUAUGCCUCUUGAUAUGGCAGAUUCUGUUCAUGUUUAAGAGAAUGAUGUUGUUUGACUUUUGUUUUUCAAGAUGAGAUUUUGUUAUGUCUGUGGAAGCUUUAAUGCAAACAAUGUAGUUCAAGAACACAAGGAUAAAACAAUCCACACAAAGGUACACGAGGUUUUAAUGUGGUUCAACCAAACACACCUACAUUCAUGGAUGAGAAAGAUUAUUUCACUAUACCAUAGAGAAUAUGAUAGAGGACAAAAACAUAUACAACUAUUGAGUUCUUGAAACAUCCUAUGUUUCCCCACUCCUUAUAUCUACUCUUGAACCAUGAGCCCCUUGCUCCAUCGGGUGUCUCUCAUUCUUCCUCACAUCUCUAUCCACCCCAUAUAGUCUUUACAAGCUCAUCUCCAUCUCAUAUCUUUUUUCCCUCUUGACCUAGAAUAUUUAUCAUGAUAUUCCUAAUAAUUUUCCUUAUUCUAUAAGGAAAUCUAAUAUUACAAUAAUUUAUCAACUUAUGAAAUAUUUUUUGCAUUAUAGCAGUUGAUAUAAUGUAAGUGUUCACAUUUUCAGGUGUUAAGUAAUUGCCGAUCAAUCUCAAAAUUUGGGGCUCCAUUCCGUUCCAUGGCUGCGACAGGUGGUUUUCGACAGAGAACUCAAUUGGAAAAUCUACAACAGGAUUUGGAUGUUCUAAUUGCAACCCCUGGUCGUUUUAUGUUCCUAAUUAAAGAAGGCUUCUUGCAGUUAACAAAUCUUAGAUGGUAACCUAUAAACUUUUGUUUUUUCAUUAAAACCUUGCAUCACUUAUAUAUUGACCUGAAUGAGAAUUAAAAAACGUGGGUUCUUUUUGUUUGAAUUUGAGUAAUGGCUAUCAUCCCUGUGUUAUGAACGUUUUUCUAAGCAUAGAGCAAGCAAUGAUAUCAUCAUUGUAGUUGUCAUCAUAAGCAUCACUAUCAUCAUAGUUAUUAUUUUGAACAAAAGAUAAGUGAUGUACAUAUAAUAUAUUUUUUGAUUUAAACAAGUGAAUUCACUGAUCAUCUUUGGCACUAUUUUUACAACAAUAUUUGAAACUUAAAAGAUUUUGAGAUUUAACUUCCACAAUUUCUAAUCUCCAUGUUUCUUCUCCCAGUCUUUCUUUUUCUUUUCCUUCAGAUUUCAAAAGCGGGUUCUGGCUAAGAAUAUAUAAGCAUGAUAUAACACCAUGAUUGUAUGCUAGUUAAAAAUUAAAUAGAUUAACCACUAAUGAAACAUGCAGAUUUUUAGUUUUGCAAUCAGUUUCUUUUAGGACGCUAGGGGAAUUAUCCACAAAAUGUUUGUUGUAUUGUUGUAUGUCAUGUUAUUCUUUCGAACCUUGGUAAGAAGCUACAGAGAUGUCAGUAAUCUAGCAAAGCUUUUUGUUGUAAAAAAUUGUGAAUGAUCGAUUUGUGGUGAUAAAAACAACAGAAGGCCCAGGUGCAAAAAUUAUAAUUUAUCGUAAAAAAACAAACUGUGCAAGUGGAAUAUGAUCCUUUUAUUUCUUUUUUAUUUAUUAUUUAUUUUACCAUAAGAAAGGAAAUGAAAUUUAUAUUGCUAGAGAAGGAUACAAGAAAUUGAGGAGAUUACUUGAAGGAGAACAAAGUAAGAAGCAAUAAUACUGAUUGCUCAAAUUUCUAUAAAGGGAUAUUUUUGUGUUGAACCAAAUAUUUUAAGUGUUUGUGCCCCUCUUUACUAGAUAACAUUCUUCAGAAUUAAUCAAUUUUUGAUUGAUCUGGAGGACAUUCCGGGAAAUUAUCUAACUCACCAACCUCCUUGAAACAUGUAUGAGCCUCUGAGGAUUCUUGAACCCCUUCUGUCCAAGAAAAUAAAGAAUGACUUUGCCUAGUUAGUAGGAUAUGUGCACACAUACUCGAAGUGUCUUUCAUCAUCAGGACAACACAAAAAAUUGACAUCUAUUUAUGUCACCAUGCCUCAGGAAGCAUGAUAAGUUCCUGCUACUUCUUGCUUUCCUUACUAAAAGAUUCGUGUGAUACUGAUUUGAUUCCCCAAACAUCAUCCUUGGAUAACUCCUCUGACAGGGAACUACAAGAAUGAGAAAGGAAGUAUGGUUUUGCCCGUACUUGUCUUAUUGUAAGGACCAUUUUGUUCUAAUUUUGGAAUAAUGGAGAUAUAUUAAUUGAUUUUCCCUAACUGAAAGAAGCCAUGUUAAGGUAAAGCAAGGCCAGUUUAGUGUUUUAAAAGAUAUUCCUUUUUCUUUAGCUAAGAAUAACCCUCUGCCAGCUUGAGGGCAUGAGAGUUAAUUCUCCUCUAGUGACCUUCAAGUAACAUAAGAUAGAUCUCUGGAGGGGAGGGUAAGUGUCAUUUCACGAAUCUCUGGUCAGGGUAUGUUGUCAGACCUCAUGGGUGGUAAUUGUAAUUCGUCCUUUUUAUAAGAGACCUGAUUACUUUUCUUUGUGGUGCUAAUGUUAACUAAAAUCUUAUUUUGCAGUGCCGUGUUGGAUGAGGUAGAUAUACUACUAAAUGAUGAAGAUUUUGAGCUAGCGCUGCAGACUUUAAUUAAUUCUUCCCCUGUUACCAUGCAAUAUCUCUUUGUGACAGCAACUUUACCAGUAGGCAUAUAUAACAAACUAGUUGAAGUUUUUCCUGACUGUGAAGUGAUCAUGGGACCUGGUAUGCACCGAAUAAGCUCCAGACUUGAGGAGGUUAGUUCUUGUAACAAUCCUGGUUUAUUGUUUUCCCACUAUAUUGCAAUCAGAAUAUGGAUGCGUUUAAAUUCUGAAACUACCUGUUAAAUUAGCAGCUUAUGCAAAGGCUCCCAUAUUAAGGUUCAUUACUCAUCUGCACUUUGUACCUGCAGCAGACCAAGGGAAUCUCAGUCUAGCUUCCUGAUGAUUUAAUUAUGGAGAAGAUUCCAAAUUGGUACUGUUAGGAUGAAAGUGAGGAGAAGAUUCAUUUAGAAAUAGGUUUAAGUUGUUCGUUUUGACAGUACAUAAUUUUAAUUUCAAGAGUCUCAUUACAAGUUGACUAGCACUAGAGGUGAAAUAAAGGACUUUAAUUUAGAAGAAUGCAGAUAUUAUAUAAAUAUAGAUAUAGGUAUCAUUUAUCACCACCACCACCAUCAUCAUCAUCAUCAUCAAGAUUAAAUUUGAUGUGGACAGCAUGAUUAUUUUACAUAAAUGAAACUCCUCUUUGAGAGUUCACUGUAUUUUUCUGUUCAGUGUACUGAAAAAAUGAAAUGAACUUUCUAAACUUUUGGUUAUAUGAAUGCAAGCGGUGAUUUAGACACAGAAAACUGGCUCUCACUUCAUUUUCAGUAGGGACUCUAUAUCAAUAAUAAUAGCUACCACUGAAUAAUGAUUUAUACUGUAUUAAUAUAGACCCAUUAAAGAAAAAGGAAAUAUUCAGGUUCUUGUUGAAUUAGUAAUCAGGUGCCAUGUACAGGUUCUUGUUGACUGCAGUGGAGAUGAUGGGACAGAAAAAACUCCUGAAUCGGCCUUUCUCAAUAAGAAAUCUGCUCUUUUGCAGCUUGUGGAGGGAAGUCCAGUUUCCAGAACAAUUGUUUUCUGUAACAAGGUAAGCUUGAACAUCAAGUGCAGAAAACCUAUGAAACAUAAGGAAGUUUUUACAUUAGUUUUUGCCUUCUCAAUUAUGUGCAGAUUGAGACAUGUAGAAAGGUUGAAAAUGUAUUAAAGCAUUUUGAUAGAAAAGGAGUUCGUUUGCGAGUUUUAGCAUUCCACGCUGCAUUGACUCAGGAGUCUAGGCUAGCAAAUUUGAAGGAGUUCCUCAAUUCUCACUCUGAAGGAGUCUCUCUCUUUUUGGUUUGCACUGAUAGGUACUGUGCUUACUUACACAUUUCUUUUUCUGGUCUUGACAUAUACUUGCUACUUGGACUUCAUUUUUUCUCAUUUCCAUAAAAAAAACACAUUCAGUCACAAGCAACUUGAUGCUUUUGAAAUUUAUGGCAGAGCAUCUCGUGGGAUCGACUUUGCCAAAGUGGAUCAUGUUGUACUCUUUGACUUCCCCCGUGAUCCAAGCGAAUAUGUACGACGAGUUGGAAGAACAGCCAGAGGUGCUGGAGGAAAGGGGAAGGCAUUUGUGUAUGUGGUUGGUAAGCAGGUUUCUCUUGCAAGGAGGAUCAUAGAAAGAAACAAAAAGGGCCACCCCUUGCACAAUGUUCCAUCUGCCUAUGAGCUCAUGAGUUAGAAAGGAGCUACAUGUAAAAAGAAAAAGAAUGGAAUGUGAACCAGAGUAUCCAUGUCUUCUGGUUCAGUUUAAUCACUUAACUAUUAUGUAACAGGUCCCAACAUUAAUUGAAUCAUAUUUUGGCACCCAAUGCUUGAUAGCAACAUGCAUUUUUUCCUCUUCUUGAAUGUGGUUUUCCCAUGAGUUAAAAUGUGGUACCCAAUGUUUGUUCCCUCAUACCUUGAUUCUACUUGUAUCUUCAUUCAACGAUCUAGAUUUUAUCACACAUAUUCAACAGGUACACACCAAUUCUGAAUCCUAGGAUUUUCCAAAUCCAUGCUUCAAAAAAGCUUUUUUCUUCCCCUUGUUGGUAUAAGAACAGGGAAAAAAAGACAAUGGAAUUACUAAAAAUAAUUAUAUAAUUAAAAAUACUCAUUUUUUAACAAAAAAAUCAUCAUUUUUUUCUUAUAAAAAUACCCUCUUUUUAAAAAUCUUAUAUGUAAAUAAUCCAAAUAUUAAAGAGCAUCAUGUCAAAAUUUGAUUAUUUUUCAAGUUCAAACAAGGGCAUGUCAAAUUUACAAAUUUGGGAAAAUUUCAUCUUGUUUUAAAUUUUUAAUCAAUUAAUGCAAAAUAAUAUGACUGCUAAAUGCUAAGACGACAAGAUGCUCAAAUCCCACUAAUUGGGUGUGGGGAGGCCCAACAGGUCUGGACCUGGGCGGAGGCCUGACGCCCGAAGCCUGAAGGAUAUGUAAAAGAGAAGGAUAAGGUUUGGUUCGGAAGAGGGUCGAAAACGCAGAAGGUAGUGUUGUAGGUGUAGUUUCAGUCUUGUUAGUGGGGGUUUUGAGAGCAACGAUGUGUGCGUCACUGUCGUUCCUCCAGAGCGCUUUCGCUUCUUCGCAACAGCUUCCUCUCCUUCCUAAGUUUGCGGCUGCAAAGCCACUCCUCCCUUCAUUCCCAAUUAUUGAAGCUAAAGCCAAAACCAGAAGAGAAGACAGAACUGCUCGUCACGUUCGAAUUAGAAAGAAGGUAUUCUUCUCUUGAUUUUUCCUUGCUCUUGGGUCUAACCCCAGCUCCCCUUAUUUCAAUUAUAUUCUCUGCCGUAUUCGGGUGAGAUAGUGGAUACAACUGCCUCGUAUUUGUUGUUAAAUGUUCCUCACCCACACCCAUCCUCUGUCGGAAAAGAGUUGUUUCCAAUUUCUGUAUUCUCAUACAUGCCACAUUCUCUACCAUCUUUAUACCCAAUAAUUUUCAGAUCAGACUGAACUUCACUGCUCACAUCUCCAACAUGUGCUUUAAAAUUUGCAUCAUUUGGACUAUGAAACAGGAAUUUUCUCCAAAAUUUUGACCCAAUGGCAAGUGCUUCCUGGUUCCCACCCCUCAAUUCAGAGCCCCAUUUCCUGUGUAUGUUAUACUGUAUUUAAACUUGGGAUAAGAAUAAAUAUAAUUUCUUUAUGCUAGUAUUUUGGGUAUGAUUUGAAGCGUGGGUGAGUAGGAUUUCAUGUGUGAUGUUUCCUAAUGAAAGAUUGUCGACAUCUUUAGGGUUGUGGUGAAAAAAGAAGGGUGGAGAAACAUAAGGCCAUUUGACAGGGAGAGGUGGCGAACUGGAAUUUGGUGUUUGUUUGAAACUUCCAUGAUUAGGAAUUGCAAUGUUAUCCCUUUCUUUGAGACUCUAUUUGGUAAUGGUAUGUAGUGGGGUGAAGUCAAUGGUGUUUACACAGAACUUUUAGGUUUGGAAUUUAUCCAUUGGUGACAAAAUAAAACUUUCUGCCACCCAAAUUAUACCCUCAAACAGUUGGCUUUCUUUGUAUGUCUGGUGGCCUUCGACAAGUGUUUGGCAUUGGAUUAAUGCAAGUUGUUGCAAAAUUGCUUCAGAAUUAUGGCUUUUGUCCUCUUUUUAGUUCUGAUGGUUGAUGCCAAAGUCAAAGAUUUGAGCUCCUCUCGAAGUUGGAAUAUAGAGAAGGUAUCAAGAAUAUUUGGAUGUUUGCUGAGGUGAUCAGCAUGCUAUUGUUGGAAAUUUCAGAAAGGAAAGAACUGGAGAAUUUUUUAGGACGUAGAAGUAUUUUGGUGAUAUUGAAGCUUUUGUUGGAGAAGAGUUUUUUCUUGUGUAGUAUGGAAAAGGGAGUUGCUGAUGAUGUUUCUUGGGAAGGAAAAUUUGAGAUCAUAGUUUUGAAUAUAGUGCUAUACAAAAUGAGAUUAGGGCAAGAAGCAAAACCUUUCUUAUCUACUCUUAGUGGACAUUUCUUUGUGAUGCUUUUUGCUUAAUUCGUUUUCUUUUAAUCUCGCAAUUACUGGAAUCAUAUUUCUUACAAAUUGCCAUUAUACGGACAUCGUUCAGUUUUAUUCAAAAUUUCCCCUCUUCUCUUCUCAGUUUCAUGUUUUGGGCAUUGCACCAGCUCUUUUGUGGUCCAUUCUUUACCUGUCUAUUGUACUUAUCAAUGUCUCUCCUUCAUCGAUUUUCCCUCAGGUUGAAGGAACACCUGAAAGGCCAAGGCUGUGUGUCUUUCGUUCCAACAAGCAUCUCUAUGUCCAGGUGAUCGAUGACAGUAAGAUGCACACUUUAGCCUCAGCUUCAACAAUGCAGAAAUCCAUCUCUGAGGAGCUUGACUACAGUUCCAGUCCGACUAUUGUAAGUUCACAGAUAAGAAUAAAAGAUCAGCCGAUUCUAGAGGAGUUGCUUUUAGAGUGAGGUUUAACCAUCAUAGUGACUGCCCCAACUGCCUCAGCACUAAGUUUGUUGCAGUUGCAGUGCUCAGGUUGUAGAAGGACAUACAAUAAAUAUACAGUUUUUUCAUUGUUAAAGGGUCAUUUAUCUGGGCCAAAUGGAAUUUUCUUUUUACAAUGGGAUCCUAAUGCUUUUAGUAGAUGGUCACUGAAUGUAAAACUAAGUUUCUCAUCCAACUCUAUGAUCUUUCUACUUAUCAAUCUCUAUCUAUUUAGCCGGUUUUUUUAGCUAUCAGUAAGCCAUCUUUUAGGAUCAUUGAUUGUGCAUUCCUUUUGUUUCUUGCAUUCAAGGCUUGUGUGAGCCUUAUUGCUGUGUAUCAUCUGUUUUACUCUGGACACCCAGUUUGAUGAUUUGUUUCUUAUAUGAUGAAGCCUUUGAAUUUGAUAAUUUGAACAGAAUUACUGAUCUUUGCAAGCUUUUGGCACCAGGAAGUGGCAAAGAAGGUGGGGGAGGUGAUUGCAAGUGCCUGCUUGGAGAAAGGGAUUACAAAGGUGGCCUUUGAUCGAGGUGGAUACCCAUACCAUGGACGCGUUAAAGCCCUUGCUGAUGCAGCUCGCGAAAAGGGUCUUCAGUUCUAAGGCAUGGGCAGUCGGUUACUUUGUUUUAAAUUGAAUUUGACUAGCAUAACAUUUUUCCUUCUCUCUUGAGCUGCAAGAACUAAGAAGACAUCAAUCUGUGAAUGAGAUUUGCGCUUCUUCCAGUUGCUUUAAAGUUGGAUAUCAGGCCUUGAAUCUUAAAUCUAAAGACAAAUGCAUAUGAAGCUUUGAUCAUUUGCUGCUCCUCAUAAUUACUAAGAUUUAGAGAAAUUUACACUCACUUCUCUUGAAAUUAGACUUCAAGUUGUGUUUCAGACACAUAUGAUGAUGAAGGAAAAUGAUUCUUUUACACUUCUUCAAAUCAUUUCAAACUAUAAUUACUUAAUAAAUUAAGAACUUCAAACCUUAUCUUCGUUCUAAUUAAGAAGCUUAGUAUGAUCCAUCAAUGGAGUUCAGUUUAAUAUCCCAAAAUGGAGCAAAAGUAUAUGCAAUAUUGCUAACCCUGAUGAGAGGGGCGAUGUAAUCUUUCUUUUCUUUAAUCAUUUUUCAGCGUUCAAAAAACCAUUAAAUAAGGAGGGAGUUUGGGUGUGGUAGGCAAGUCUUCCGUUGACUUUGGUUGCCCUAGGUGAUUGCAAAAGUACACGUGGUUUUUUUUCAGUAAUUAUUUUUGAAAAUAAUUCUAAAGAAUAGUUUUUAAAAAUAAAAUUAUUUUUUAUUUUUAUCAAAUAAAAUUUUAUUUGAAAACCUAAAAUAUUUUUAAUCUAUUUUAAAUAUAUUUUAAAAAUAAUUUUUAUAUAUAAUAUUUUAUUUUUAAUUAUUCUAUAUAUCUAUAUAAUUAUUUUUUAAAACCGUUCUCAUAAAACAAAUAAAAAUAACUAAAAAAUAUUCUUUAAAAACACUUUAUUUUCUAUUUUUAAGAAUAAAAAACAGAAAACAAUUUUUUAUUGUUAACUGUUUUCUAUGUUUUUUUGUUUUAAAGAACAAAAAACCGUUCUAAAAAACUAUUUCCACCUUCAUUUCUAAAAUUGAUAUAACAUGUUGGCUCUAAAAAUCUCAUGAUCUUUAGUCUUUAUCCAAAAACCACUUUUACUCGUGGUUCUUAAUACAACACGAUCAUCCUUAUAAUGUGAACAUAGUUAUUAAAAUUUGAAGAAAAGUACACUAACUUGUUCUAAGAUUAUUAAACUUAUCCCAACAAGUAGUGUCGUGGCACAUCAAACAUUAGAAAAACAUUAAAAUAUUCAAAUCUUAUCUUCUUUCUAAUUAACAACCUUAAUCCUUCGAAUUCAUCAAGGCAGUUGGGUUUAAUAUUCCAAAAUGGAGGGAAAACUUAUGCAAAAUUGCUAAUCCUGAUGAGAGGUUGACGUGAUUUUCCUUUCUUUAAUUACUUUUCAACAUUCAACAAAACCUUAAAUAAUCAUAAUUCAAAACAAAAAGAUGAAGGCAACUGUCGGCGUGACAACACGUCUCUUAUUAUUUUAGAUGUGUGAUAAGAUCCAACAUCUUGGAAUAUCCCAUAAUCAUACGUGGCUCCAAACCCCAAAUCCUAGAAGUAGAAGAAAAGUCAAGGAAACCAUGAUGUCAAAGAACCUAAACAAACGAGGGUUAAUAAGUCAGAAUGCCAAAGGUCAAACAAGAUGAUGGGUUCCCUAUUCACAAUAAUUCAUGCCCUCCAAUCAUUGGAUUAAAAAAAUCAAACUUUAGUUUGAUUAUAAUAUGUUGUCACACAAAAACUUAAUCUAUCAUCCAAAGCAAGUUGAGGAGAAUUUUCCACUACCUAAUAUUUCAAUAUCAUUAGUGGUAGCAUCCCAACACGGAAUCCAAUCAUCACUGCCACAUUUUAUUUUAUUUGAUUCUAUUUUGUUAUAUGGAAUAAUACAAUUAUAGCUAAUCUAAGAUGUGGGCAAGGGCGAUUGGUUGUGAGGACAAUGAGUUGGUUAUUUUGUUUUGAUAUAUCUUGAUUUAGGAAAUUUUUUGUGAGUGACUUGUUCUUUAUUGAACAUUCAAAGGUAGUUGUUGGUUUAAUUGGAAAGCCAUAGAUAAGUUUAAAAAUGUUUAUUUAUUAGUAAGUUAAGUUAUUAAAUGGUUAAAAUAGAUCAAAACAUUUUUUAUGAAUUAAAAUGGCUUAAAUUAAUAUUUUGAAAAAAUAGGAAACACUCGAGCGAUGGGAGUACACUCGAGUGGUGGAAGUGUGCUUGAGUAAUCAUCCCAAAUAUACCAGAAAAUUGCAGAUUUAUUAUUUGGAAAUUCACGAGUAUUCUUUUUAAAAAUUUUGGGAUAUCGAUUGCUUAGGUCUAUAGGCCUUUAUAAAUCCUCUUUUAUUCCUUUUAGGAUAAGACACAUUAAAAGAAGAUCAAUCUAACUUGUCCUAUCAUUCUCAAUCUUUCAACAAAGAUUCAAUGUUUAAAUCUUUGGUUAUUAAAAGACUUGCAUCCAUUCAUUGAAGCUGAGGAGAAUUUACUAGGGCAAUUAGAAAUUGUUGCAGCACAAACAUAGAUCAAGUUGAAGGUUUGGAGAUUGUUGUGUCGCAAAUAUGAAUCAAGUUGGAGGUUACGGAAAGUAAGUAUUAGGGGUAAGUUAUUAGGUAAUUCUGUAUAACUUAAUUUCAAAUAGUAGAUUUUAGAUUUAAGGUCUUAGACCCUAUAUAUUUUUAUCUUUUCCACAUAAAAAUGUUUGUCUACCGUUUGAAUAUUUUAUUACUUUAAUAUUUAAUUGCUUUGAUUGAUUAUUCCUAUUAUCCCUCGAAAAUUCGGGUUAAUAUAAUUCAUCUCUUAAAUUAUAAUUUUUUUAAAAUAGUCAUUAAACCCUGAGUGUUACGUAGAUAAAUAGUUUUUCAAAUAUGAUUGGGUGUAAUAUUCAAUUAUUAUUAUUUUUUCCUUCAUUUUUUAAAAUCUCAUGAUACGAUUUCAAAUAAAUUGUAUUAAGUUACAUAUGGGCGGUGGGAUUUUAUUAUUUUAAUAUAAUUCGUCCCUUUUUUCGCUGAUGAGAAAAGGAUUCUACCUCUUCAACUGACCACCCACUAUAUAUAGGGUGGCGAAGGUGCCUGGUUGCCAAAUAUUUUGAACAUGCCAUGGGGACGAUGACCCAUUUCAGCUGAAGCCUGUCUCAUUCAUUUCCUAUUUAUAUAUAUAUUAAUUAAGGUUCUUCUCUGGAGGCCUUGGGUGUGGGUGUGGGUGUGGGCGUGGGCGUGGGGGUCGGUUUAGGGAUGGCGACAAAUGGAACAGCCAAGGUUUGCCCGGCGCCAAUGAAGGCAACGUCCAAUGGAUCCUUCCAAGGUGACAAUCCCCUGGAUUUUGCGCUUCCCCUCCUCAUCUUGCAGAUAUGCCUGGUCGUCGUCUUCACCAGAACGCUUGCCUUGAUUCUGAAACCUCUCAGACAGCCCAGAGUCAUUGCAGAGAUUAUCGUGAGUCCCCCCACCUCUCCUCUUCUCUUCUACAAAACCAGAACCAGCUUCCUCGAUUAUUGGCCACGUAUUUUUGAUAUGGCUCCGAUGUGAUAUGACGAUGAUAUUCUUUUUAUCUUACUGGUUUUUGUCGCUCAUGUUGUCCCAUAUUCCUUCAAAAUGCAGACAUAUUAAUGCAAAUACAAACCUAAAAAAUCAUCACCAAUGGAGAGCAGAUCAAAUGCUAGCUCUUGCUAAUAAUUCUAGCAGCUAUCUAUCAUGUCAAAUAUCAUAACUUGUAGUCAUGGAAGGCAGACCCUGAUCAAAACAAGGAGAAACCGUUAUUGCAUGGUUGACGUGUCUUGUUCUGAAGUUGCCAUGAAUUUGACUAAAAUAAUUUUUAUUCAAUUUCAGAGAAAAAUUCCAAUUGUUCCAUUGGGUAUGAGGUUUGGAGGGCCAUUUAAUAAAAUAAAAAAAAUUAAAAUUAAAUUCAAAUUAUGAAAUAUUUUGUCUUCUUUUUCUUUUUUCAAUUCAAAAAAGUACUGGUAGCUAAAUCCACUGCAAUUUUUAACUCUUUCUCUUUCUCUGUCUGUAUAUACCCUUUUUUUUGUUUUUUAAUAGAAGAAACAGGAUCUGUGCUCCACUCUUAAAAUUAUUUCAUUCAUUAUCUUUGAUUAAGAGAAGCAUUCUGGUUCUUGCAUAUAUGUAUAUGCUGAUGAUGAGGUUGCAUUCAUGGCAGGGAGGAAUACUGCUCGGCCCAUCUGCGUUGGGGCGAAGUACCAAGUUUCUGCACAGAGUCUUCCCUGCCAGAAGCAUGACUGUCCUGGACACUGUGGCCAACAUUGGCCUCCUCUUCUUCCUGUUUUUGGUGGGUCUUGAGCUUGACAUUCGAGCUAUCCGAAGGACCGGCAAACAGUCCCUAGGAAUAGCCGUCGUAGGUAUCACCUUCCCUUUCGUUCUUGGCAUUGGCACUUCAGUUGUUCUACGCUCCACAAUUUCCAAGGGAGUAGACCACGCCCCUUUCCUCGUCUUCAUGGGCGUCUCCUUGUCCAUCACCGCUUUUCCAGUCCUUGCCCGUAUCCUAGCAGAGCUGAAACUUCUCACCACUGACGUGGGCCGCAUGGCAAUGUCAGCGGCCGCCGUCAAUGACGUUGCUGCCUGGAUUCUCCUCGCACUCGCCAUAGCUCUCUCUGGCGAUAACACAUCACCCCUCGUUUCCGUAUGGGUCCUACUCUGUGGCUGUGCGUUUGUGGCAGCAGCUAUCCUAUUCUUAAGACCGGCACUUGCAUUUAUGGCUCGGCGCUCCCUUGGAGGCGAACCCGUGAACGAGCUCUACAUAUGUAUUACGCUAUCGCUAGUAUUGGCUGCAGGUUUCGUCACCGACACAAUCGGCAUACAUGCGCUCUUUGGGGCGUUUGUCGUGGGCAUAGUUGUACCCAAAGAUGGCCCCUUUGGGGAGAUCUUAAUAGAGAAGAUCGAGGAUCUGGUUUCAGGGCUUUUUCUGCCGCUCUACUUUGUAUCAAGUGGACUCAAGACCAAUGUCGCUACCAUAAGCGGUGGCCAAUCCUGGGGCCUGCUAGUCCUGGUUAUAUUCAACGCUUGUUUUGGAAAGAUUCUGGGGACGGUUGUGGUCUCCCGCAUAUUUAAGGUGCCGAUGAGGGAGGCUGUUGUACUUGGAUUCCUCAUGAACACCAAGGGCUUGGUGGAGCUGAUCGUCCUCAACAUUGGCAAGGACCGGAAGGUACAUAAGCUCACUCAUUCUGGUACAUAGUUGAUGAUUUUUGGUCUGGGUAGGUGGCUGACCAUCUUGCUUCCUUGUUUGAUUAUAUAUAUAGGUGCUGAAUGAUCAGACUUUUGCUAUCUUAGUUCUUAUGGCGUUGUUCACCACCUUCAUCACCACCCCAAUUGUGACCGCCUUGUAUAAGCCAGCCAGGAAGAUAGCAUCUUACACGCACCGGACUGUUCAGCGCAGAGGACCUGAUUCAGAGUUCCGUAUACUGGCAUGCUUCCAUAGCACUCGAAACAUUCCCACAAUGAUCAACCUAAUAGAGUCUUCCCGUGGGACACGACGCGGGCGUCUUUGUGUGUAUGCUAUGCACUUGAUGGAGCUCUCAGAGCGGUCUUCCGCCAUCUCAAUGGUACACAAAGCACGCAGAAAUGGUCUCCCCUUCUGGAACAAGAAACGUACACACAAAGAUCAGAUGGUGAUAGCAUUUGAGGCCUACCAGCAGCUCAGCAGUGUUUCUGUCCGUCCUAUGACGGCCAUCUCCCCGCUCAACAGUAUCCACGAAGACAUCUGCACAAGCGCCCACCAAAAGCAAGUGGCCAUGAUUCUACUCCCAUUUCACAAGUAUCAGCGUCUGGAUGGGGUGAUGGAGUCGUUGGGACACUCGUUCCAUCUGGUGAACCAGCGGGUCAUUCGGCACGCCCCUUGCUCUGUAGGAAUCCUUGUAGACCGCGGCCUAGGAGGUACCAGUCAAGUCUCCGCCAGUCACGUGUCUUAUUCCAUAGCCAUUCCUUUUUUUGGUGGACGUGACGACCGUGAAGCUCUGGCAUAUGGUGUUAGGAUGGCCGAGCACCCUGGAAUCAAGCUCACAGUCAUAAAUUUUGUUGCUCCCCCAGGGAAGUCGCUUCUGGAUUGGAAUUCCGGAGAUGGUGCUGCGACAGUCCAAAUCAAUGAAAUAACACAAGACGGAAAAGAAGACAAUGACCAACUCUUCUCCGAGCCCAAUUUCACGGAAAAUGAGUCCAUAUCCUACGAGAAGCGGGUGGUAGAAGAGAAGGCAGGCAUUGUGGCAAAGCUGACAUCAAUGACCAACACCAACCUCUUCUUGGUGGGGAGAAUGUCGGCAGUAGCAGGACUGACAGAAAGAAGCGACUGUCCAGAACUGGGCCCAGUUGGGAGCUUCCUAGCGUCUUCCGAAUUCUCCACCACCGCAUCGGUUUUAGUUAUUCAGCAGUAUAACCCCACAGCAAAUUUUUCCGCGCUGGCGGAAGAAGAAGCUUCAGAACUCUCAGACGGGCCAGAUGAUGCACCAGUGUGAUUCACAUAGAUAUAGAUCUACAGAUAUGGAAUCCCCUUCAACGUCCUACAUGCUUCAUUACCAAUUCUGAAUAAUUGUGGUCCAAGUCUACAGAUUAAGGAGAGAGAUCUCCGCCCUUUUAGACUUUGCUUAAUUCUGAAAUGCAUCACUGUCUCUAGUUUUGGGCCAGAGGACUCGGCAGUCGGAUCCCAAUUAAAUUAUAUCUUGUAGGAGAUAUGGACCAUCAUAAGCACUCACUACCCUAAUCUAAAUCUCUAAAUUUAAGCUCGGGUAAUAUCAACAAGCGUGAUCAGUUCGUAUUGAUUAAUAUCAAUGAGCUACUUUUUUUUUUUAUCGAAUAAAAUAAAUUAAAUAUUUUAAUUAUUUUUAUUCAACCAAAAAACCAACACUUCCUCGGUCCUAAAUCAAAAUCAAACUAACUUUAUAUAAUAAUUGCAUUUUAAAUGUUAUUAGUAAAAUAAAAUAAAGUCUAAUCCCCAUGGACUUAAAUAAAAAUAACUUCAUAAAUUUUAAAUAAAACUAAAAAUUAAAUUAAAUAUUUUUAAAAUACAUUUAAUUUUUUUUUCCUUUUUAUUCCAUAAAUUUUUAUUUUAUCACAAUUUUUUAACAAAAUAAAGAGGAUAUCAUUACUAACUAAGUAUAUGCAAAUAAUUUUUUCCACUCUAUACAUUGAAACAAGACCAAAACCCCAACAACUAGUUAGGGCAAUUAACAGUUUUCCUCAUCAGAAUUGAAAGACUGUCUUCUCCUCAAAGAUUCUAUGACAUCUAAGGGUCUAUCUCCCCUAGAAGAGGUUGUUCCUCCCAUGGAAGACUUGAGCUUGGGUCUACCAAUUGAACUGAAAGGUGGUGUUGGAGACCCCCUGUUCACUUCCUUGAGCACUGAUCGAACUGUGGCUGCAGCCACUGCAUCUGACAUUGCUGAAGCCACUCUUGAUUGAACUGGCAACCUCUCUGUGAACUUAGAAACAUGGGGGGAACGAUAACAUGGCUGCAUGGUUGCCACAGCUGCAGCAGCCGUGGAUUUGGCCUUUGCUGCAUCAUACUUUUCCAUGUCAUAAAUGAGCUCCUUCUGAAGCUGCUUAUCAGCUACCAACAUGUCAUCAAUCUCAUUCUUGUAGUCCUUGAGAAGAAUUCGUAAGCAUUCCAUGAGGGAACCUGUAAGGGGGCUGUUCUUGCUCUCCAAUAGCCGCUUCAGCUCUAUGAAGAUGGGAAUGGUGUUUUGGACAAGGCUCUUUUUAACUGCUUGAGUUAUGGCCCUUCCUCUAGCAGCAGAAGCUUCAGAAGCUGCUCCACCAUCUAAGCCUUCUUCUUCCCCAUCUGCUGAAUCGGAUGUUGAUCCACGGGUUGAUGGGAUACGAAUCUCUUUGCAGGCAAGAAUUCGGAAAGUAUCCUGUUUCAUCAAUUCAACAAAAGAUAAUUGUACAUAGAAACAUGUCAGUAACCAAAAAAACACAUUACUAAACAACCACAAGUUUCUAGCUAGAAAAUUCAUGACCCAAAAGAAAACAGAGGCCAUUUCUGUGAUUCAUGUGGUUCACUUUGUGAUGCAAUGGUUGCAGCAUUCCUCCAUUGUAAUACAACACAAUCUAAUUGGUAAUUGGUGUAAUAAAUAGAGGAGAAAGAUCUAUUCAAUUCAAUGUGAAACUAGGGAAGCUCACAUGUCACUCAAGGACACCAAUAUUCAGGGAUUACUACCUGCAGGACAGACUGUCCAUGGACAUCUUCCAUAUUGAGCAUGCCAUCAGAUGCAGCUGCAAGGAUCUCAGCACAUAGCUUAGCAAAAGUAGCUAAAAGGUGCUCUGGGGCCAUUUGUUUCAGCAAACAAACAUAGAUGUGCAUUCUUUUAGAUCUUGACUUUUCAUCAUUACCUCUGGAAAAGAAAAAAAAAUCAUAUACAUAUACAUUGGAUCUUUCCAAUUUUAGCUGUUUUCCUAGUCACUGAAUCUGAAAUUUACUGACCUAAUAGAAAAACGGUCUCUUUCAGUCUGCGUACUCUGAGAAUCAUUACCUCCAUUAUGGACAUGGCAGUCAUUCAGAACAAAAAUGGCUUCAACAAAACUGUUAUAAGCUAGAAGAGGUGCCUUGGCUGCAAUCCAAACACAUCAGAUGAAGAAUUCACUCUGGAUAAACAUAAAUCAUUGUUUCCAUGACGAGAUAGAUUAGUAACUGUAAAAGCAGUGUAACCUUUCAAGAUAUUCCCAAAGAGGAAAUCUGCAAGCCGCCUUAUCUCUUCUGAUUCAUCAACAAGAGAUAAAAGGAAUCGGAGGAAGAGUACUCCUCUCCACUUCACAUAGUCCCUCUGGACAUGAUAAUAAGGUUAAAGGAACAUUAAAAACUUUGCUGCCGCUUAAUUGAUCUUCAAAAAUGAACAUGGGAGAAUAAUAUCAUAAAUGACAAAGCUAUAGAAAUAGAAACAAACCUGCAAUAAUCUAGAAAGAAGUAUAAAUGUCUGCCUUCUCACAAGCUCGCAUGAAUCACGAAGACAUUUUGUGAUCUUUGAUACAUAACUGUUAACUUCAACAAUAGCUAGUUAGAAUAGCAAAGAGAUUCUUUGAAACAUUGUCAUACUUUUAAAUUUUUUAUAGCCCUCACCAAUCAACUAAAGCAGUGUACCGGACACAAAAAUCUGCCAAUGUAACUACAAUAUUGUUGCGGAGGGCUGCACAGUCACUCUUCUCAAGUUCCUGGAACAAUGCAUGCAUGGUGUGUGAACUCAGACUACUUUUACAGCAAGUUGAUCAAGCAAAUAGAAGCAAAUAAAAUAAAAUAAGGUUGAGCAAACAGGUUUCAGUGAUAAUUCACAGGAAAAAUUGUUAGAAAGGGCAAUGCACAAGGAAAAAACAAAAAGGAAAUACAGAAGCCACACCAGGUUGAAAACCAAACCUGCACAAACAAAGGGAUGUAUCUCUUUGCAAGUUCCCCAUCUGCAAGGCAGAUUUUCCCCAUUGUCACCCAUGCAUGAAUGUACAAGGAAGGGGCUGCCUGCUUUAAGGGAAAUGUAUUGCCUUGUAACUUAUUCAAUUUUGUAUCAGAACUUCCGGAGGUAAUUAUGGUGUGUAAAAUUGGAAUAAUGGCAUCCAAAUUAGCAGAAGGACAAAUGAUAACCAAAGACCCGAUAGUAUAAACUGCGGUAAUUGCUCGUGACAAUGAUCUGGACAUGGUCAAUGCUGUUCUGCCUUUCCUCCUUGCACCUCCAGGUGGUGUGCGAAAGUCACUGUCUAUAUUUGCUUCUGAGGCCUCUGAAAUGUACUUAUCUAGAAUCUGAGAAGCUUUAGAGAGAAGUUUGUGUACACAUUUCUGAACAAGGUCAUCAGCCUCAUCAGGAUUUAAAACCUGUCUCUUGCACAAUGUUCUGAGUGCUUUUACAUGCGCGUUAACCUGCCACCAAACAACACAAAACAAUCACACACAUGCAGAGAUAUAUUAGAAGAAACAUGGGUUUCACAGAGUAGGAUACUGCUAUGGAUUCAGCAAGAAAAUGUUAACACGAUCACUGAAAACAUCAAGUAUGGAGUUGACAUUACUGAAAGCAGAAAGGAAUAACAAGUAGAAACUUUCUAAAGCUCACCCUGGCUAACAUCAUAAUGAAAACUUGACUUUUUAAAACAAGAAAAAAGUGCUAAAUUAAGACUAAAAAACAAUGAACCCAAAAGACAAAAAUAAACUGAUGGUUAUGAUUUCACAGGCAACUUCUCCAAGUUCUACAUCAAACAUUCACAUAUGAUGACAUGCUGAUGCUAUUAAAUUAACUUAACAAAGCCUUAAAGCCAACAACUUUAGGCCAGAUACAAGAAUCCUUUUUCUACAUCCAAAUAUAUCUAGGACCAUAUGCAUGUGACUUCCUCUCUGCUUGGUUCAUUCAGCUACAACCAAUUUGCACAUGUGAUAUAUAUCAUGGAAUUAACAUUGUCACAAAUUCUCUUCCUGCAUAACUGUGCAUAUACAAAUCAAUUUAUCAACCAUAAUUUAUUAAGGAGUGGACGGCAAACUAAAGUCCAUAGCAUUAAAGGUGGAUCGUAUGAAACACAGUAGAAAAAGCACACAGAAUAAGAAAUGAACCGCAUGCCCAAUACCUGAAGGAACAAAUUCCCCAUAGGAACAAAAAGCACAUUGUUUAGAAAUUUCUUCAAUUAAAGUAUAUUUAGAAUAAUGCUAUCAUAAAACAAUUGUCUUAUAGCCAUUUGAGAUAGUUAACCCUAUUCAUUUGUAUAAAUUUUUUUUAUUACACAGUUUGCAGUAUUAUUGCCAUAAAAUGGUGCAUAUUAGAUAAACUUCAACUCAAGCUAUUAAGCAAUUCACAUAUUGUAAUCUCUGUAUCCAUUUCAGAUCACCUGAAACUUGUAUAGCAGGCAAAGCAAAUUCAUAUUUUUAUCCAACGACCUUGGAAAAUGGCAAGAUCAGUGUGCAACAAAGGAAAUGAGAAUAUAAGGAGAGAAAACAAAGCAGCCUUUCUGUAUACCAUAUCACUAUAUUAGUGAUGCCAAAUGAUAAAUACCUCAGUUGAAUGCAUGUUGAACUCCUCAAUCCGUGUAAGCAAGUUGUGACCUAAAGCAGCAGCAGGUUCAGGGGGCAGUUCCACAGAAACAUUGGAAAUUGUUUUCAAUAGAAAAACACGAUCUCCAGCCCAAGCAACAGAAUUGGACAUGCUGCAAUCUACCCCAUCAUCAAAAUCUUGUACUGGGCUCCUAAAUUCAACCCCUGGUCCAUUCUUGUCAACGAGCUGCCAAUGAUGAUGGAGGAACUCCCAGUCCACUGCUUUUGAGAGGAACUCUGACACCUCUGAUAGAAGAAACCAGGCCCCAGGAGGGGCUGUCCACUUUUCUAUUGGCAUGGAAUGGCUCAACCACAGAGACUCAGAUGCCUUUAUCAUACCCUGAAGUGCAACAGCAAUUUUGGGCUUCAGUCGUUUCUUCUUUCCUAGGCUUGUGCAGAUCUUCUUCACCCAAGGUGCCACCUCCCCAUUACAGAUCUCUUUCAACAGAACCAAAACUCCUCCAGGAAAUAAAAGCUCAAUUUCCAUCUCUAGACUUUUUGUCUUGGCAUUCAAAUCAUUACAAACCAAUUUCUUGUGUGCUGAAACAGUGGAUCCAGCUCUAGACACACGAUCCAAGACCAGUUCUAGAAACAGGUUCUCACAUUCUUCCUGAAUGCUAGAUUCAUUAUCAGUUAUUAAACGUGGAAUAGAAUGUAGCCACUCUGUUGUCACAUUCCCAUCUGGGAAUGUUUUAAAAGCCUACAAAAGCAAUGUGAGUGCAACAUAAGAUUAAGAAAUGCCAAAAAAGAGAUCAUUUGGCAGAAUUUAAAAAAAAAAAAAAAAAACAGAGAAAUGAUUAGGAUUGCACACAUUUGCAUAAGCAGAGAUCCAAAUGGGUGCAUCAGUAUAUGAUUUCAGACCAAAAAUAAAGGAGUGGAAAAAUAUAUUUCCAUAUGCAUUUAUUGGAAUUAUGAAAAUGCCUAAAAAACACAAAGACAAAAGGGUCCAUUGCUAUGCCCACAUAUCUGAUGGCCAUUUAUAUAGGCAAUAGGUGUUAAACUUUGUCAAACUUUUUACAUGAAGCUGAUGGUCUUGAUUAUCAUUUGAAAACUGGAAUUUCAGAACAGGAUGCAUGCAGAGGACUCUCAUGUUUGGGGCAGUGUGCUAUGAAUGAUAACUAACUAUAAACACAAAGAAGGUAGAAUAUUCAUCUCACAAAAACACUCGAAGUGUCCCCCUAAUAUAUUCACAAAAUCACCCGGUGAUAUUGCAACACUAUUCCCUAUUUUUUAAAUUGAUUCAUGUAGUAAUAUCCUCAUUGACCAAAGAGAACAAACACAAAUGGAACAAUUAAAAGUGAUUCAACAGUUACUUGUUUUUGUACUUCUCAUGCCCAAUAGAACAAAGUAGGUUUAAAUGCCAUAGAAAAAUCAAGGCCAGAAGAAUUAUUUGUAGGAAGUUUAUGUAUAUGGUAUUCAGAAGGGAUCUUUAAUGGCAUCUAUGUCAGUUUCAAUAUUGCUUAGUAUCAUAUCAGGUGAUGAAAGUAAUCAACAGGAAACAAUGGAUGAGGCACAAAAAUAACUUAAACCUCAGAUAGGGCUGAAAUUGCUGCUUUCCUAAUGCUAACAAGCGGAUCUGAACAAGCCAUGCCCAUUGUCUUGAGCAAGUCUCCAACAAAUUCACCACCAAGAAGACCCGUCAACUUGGUAAUUAGAAGAAGUGCAGCCUUCCUCACGGCUGCCUUCUCAUCCAUACAUCUUUUCCUCAAAAGAUCAUUCACCCCACCUUCCAGCUUCUGAUGUGAUGAACUGCCAAAGCCCAUUCCUUCCUUCAACAUGACCUGAUUCCUAUCAUCAGUGGACAAGAACCCCACUAUCUGUGCCAGGUUUGUCAGAGCUCGAGCUCGAAUCCCUGCAGUAGCAUCCGAGCACCGCUGAAUCAAAGCCUCCAAACAAUUCAACCCCCAUGAAUUCUUGACUUCAUUUCCAGUAUUGACCCCCAAUGGGUCCCUCAGUGACAUUAUAAGCAAGGGAAAAAGAUCAACCGCCAAAAGCCUGAAAUGGGACUUUCCUUGGGUCAUCUUCACCACAUACAUUACAAACCCAAUUUGCUCCUCAAAUUCCAUAGUUUUAACAAUCUCCAUCACCGAUUCCACAGCCAAAGCCCGAGGCUCAGACUUCUCAGGGGCCUUCUGCAACAAAUACCUAGGAAGAUUCACGAUUGCUUUCUUAACACCAUCAAACUCCUUAGCCAUACCCAUCAUCCGAUUCAUCAUAAAUCCCAAUGCAAAUGUCCGAGCCUCCGACUUAGCCAACAGAAUCAAAGGCGAUAACGACUUCAAAACCUCAGCCGCUGUAGUUGCCUGGUCUCCAUGCUCAGAACUCAAAACUUCAGUCAAGACCCGGGAACACAAAUGGGUUAAUUUAUCAAAACUUGCUGUGUUACCACACAAUUCAAGCGCCAUGGCAGGAAUCUCGGCCACGGUCUGAACCAAAGACUUCAAACUAUCAGGAAACCGGUCUAAAUGAAUCAAACCCAGAACCAGCUGUAGCCUUUCAAGAACAGAGAACAACAUUCUCACAUCAAAUUCACUCUCCUCACUCCCAUCACCAUCAUCAACCUCCCUCACCCGACUCCUAACACCCCUUGCCCGCCCACCCCCCUUCCUCUUUCUAUACGCCGCCGCGUACGAGCCCCGACUCGACUCACCGAACCGAGGAGGACCCAUUUUUCGAUUCUUGAAACACUGACGAAUAGAGCGAAGAAGAGAAAGAAAAGCCAUGGGAGUGAAGAGGGUGAAAACAGGUGCAUUCAGGGAGAGAAGCAAGGAGAGGUAGACUCUGGAGGCCAAGAGGGAGAUGUCGGUGGGGCUUGAGUCCAUGGCAGAGGCCAUAGGGCGAAUGAGAGAGGAGAUCGAGAGGUUUCUGGAUGAGAGGUCUUCGAAGAGGCGGUCAAUGUGAUGUGAGUCCUCGGUUGCCAUGGCGUUGUCGAGCAGAGUUUGGAGAUCCGAGAGGGUGGAUUGGGAGAUGGGUAGUGGAGGGUUUGGGUCAGAGAGGCUGGCUGUGGAGUGGGCUUCAAGGUCCGUGAGUAUUCCAGAUAUGACCUCUUCCAUGGCUGCCCGCCUUGGAGCCUCUCUGCGCUCCUGCAAAUCUCUUCGUCUAUCCAAAGCCUUUGAAUUUGGGCGUUCCCGCUUAAAAGUUAAAAGCCCUGUUCUUAAAUUUUAUUUUAUUUUAUAUACACCCUGUGAAAUGCAGAAAGCGAAAACAUGUUUUGAAAAUGAGUUGUUAUUUUAAAACAUUUUCAACAUAUUACUUUUAAUAUUUAAAGAAAUACAAAUGCCUUAAUAAUUUAGUGUAUGGAACUGUUUUUUAGAACUAUUUUCUAUUUUUCAAAACAAAAAACAUAAUAAAAACAUUAAAAAUCCGUUUAAUAACCAAAAAUUGUUUUCUGUUUUUUAUUCAUACAAACAAAAAAUAGAGUAUUUUCACAUCAUAUCUUUUAAUUAUUUGUUUAUUAUUUUUACAUGUUUUUUUUAUAAUUAUUUUAAAAUAUAAUUAUAUAAAUACGUAGAAUAAUUAAAAAUAAAACAAUAGAUAUAAAAAUUAUUUUUAAAACAAGUUAAAAACAUUUUAAAAUUUCAAAUAAACUUUUGUUGUACGAAAAUCAGAAAACAGUUUUCAAAAAUUAUUUUUCACAACUGUUUUUGAAAUUAGUUACAAAAGCCAUCCUUAUAUUCAAAUAUCUUUUCAUUUUUCUCAUUUCCACUGUUUGUGUUAUCUAAAAAACUAAAAAUAUUUAAAAAUUCUUUUAAAAGCGAAUUGAAAAUUUUAUUCCAAGCAUCAUUAGAUAAAAAUGAAGCAGUGAAAUAAAAUGGAUGAGGAAGCAAAAAUUUUCCCAAAGAACUAAAAAACUUCACCUGGCAUGGGGUACUAGCAAGCAAAAAACCUAAAACUACUACCAGGAAUUGAGAAAGGCUGACAGCUAAAGCUGCUUUCAUGGCUUCCAAAGGCCACCAUUUUAAAUGAACUUUCUGAAUUUUAUCUCUAAAGCAAUCAAACAGUUCCCAGAAAACCCAUUGAUAAAUAGAAAGAACCAAUCUAAUCUGCAACUGGAUGAGACUAGAGAGGGAACUCAGGGUGUGAAAUUUCUAGGGAAGAUCAGCCUAUUGGACCAGUUACAGGCCUUCAGCAUCACAGAUAGUUCACCAGUUACUUCGGUUUUUCAAUUAUACAAGCAAGGAAGCAUCGGCUUUACAAAGAAGGAAGCAUUCAACUGCCUCUGGAUAAAGAGAGUAGACAAGGAUUGAUUUUGAGAAACGAUGCUCAAUUGAUUUGAUUCAGUUUUGUACAAAAAAAUAUAUAUACAUACAGUGAUGUUAAUCAGCACAAAAAGAAAAUAUACAAGUCAACCUAGUAUCUAGGAGUGUACAAUGGGAACUCAAGUUUAUAAAGUCAAAUUCUAAGGAUCUGCAUGUGAUUGAAGAGCAACCAGUGCCUUAGAUUGAUUCAGAUUACUGGCACGAAAACCUUUUUGCCCAAUACUAGGGACUGCCAGUUCACCCACAGCUGCCAUGACCAUACACAGCAGAAGCUUAAUCAGCUACCCACCAAACUGGAUCUCUGCUGUUUGUGAUAUAUUGAGAAAUUAUUCUUCUGUCAAGUCCCAACAUGCGGUUAUGGAUGACUGGACUUGGAACUGCUUGCCGGGGAAUCUGGCCCAGCAAGCCUGAGCCUGAAGGAGGAACCAUGUAAAAGUCAGCAGGCUGAGCAGGUGGUGAUGCUGUAUACACCACAGGUGAACCAAUCGAAGAGGGCAAAGGGCCAAAAGCACCAGACCUAAAAUGAUGAGGCAUAUGCAAGUAAGUAAUAUUACCACAGUGGAAUAACACUGAAGACAAAAAUAGAUAUUGCAGGUUAUGAGAAACAAAUGGAGGCUUCUCAUACUAUCACAGCCUUCCCCUAUCUGACUUGAAGAUAUGAAAGGGGUGCUAUAAAAUUAGUCAUGGAACUUAGAGAAAUUCACUACUAUAUUUUUAAUUAAUUUUUUUUACCAGGGCAAAGAUUCUGAAUCAUUUAGGAGGCCUAAAGCUCAUGGAAGAUCAGGGAAGUCAUUAGAAAAACACAUUGGAGGUUGCAGUAUUUUCUGGAGUAUAUUGAAUUUGUCAGAACUUACCCAUGGUCGAGAACAACUGGCUGAGUGACUGAUUGCAGACUUGGUACUCCGCCAGAAGCAACCCAAGACAAUCCCAUCAUGGAGGGAACAGUCGGAUUGGCCCUGCUAGAAUUCUCACUUGUUGGAGAGAAGGUACCCCAAUUGCCAUAGUGCAAACUGGCAGGGAGGCCUUGGGCAGGAGCAUUGCUGGGCGGAGGAAGGAGAUUCCAUUGAUGGCUGAAAGUAGGGCCAUCUGUAAAUAUGAUUCACUUUUCAGUUAUAUUUACUGUACCAACUAGGAUUAAAAAACAAAAAAGGAAAAGAACAACAACAACAACAAAGAAAGAAAGACAUUACAUCCAUGAGAUGGCAAUCCCCAUACCCUGCAAGAUUUAAAACAUCAAGUAAGAUAAAGGAAAACACUAAAAGAAUUGGCAUCUGAUUGCUCGAUUCGCAUUAUCAUAAUAAAGAUGCUUUGAACCAUUUCAAGACUUGGACAGUAGUUUUCCUCCUGACCUUUUCUCAUCUUGUCAAUUUUAUUUUAACUAAGAGAAAAGAGACAAAGAUCAAAAUUCCAUACAGUUCAUAAGCCAUGAAAUUCAAUGAAAGAGCCUCUACCUCCACUUUUGUGGCCCCAACAGCCAAAUAUGAUUGCACGUCCCAUACAAAUUUGAAAAGCUACAAAAUUAAUGUUCAUAGGUUCACACUCCCCAAAUGGAGUUGACGAAGCUUGGAUGUUUCAUGUUAUAACCUGCAUCAUGCCUUAAUAUGCUUCUAAUCAUGGAGAGUGGAUUGAACUAAAUAGCUCCCUUUGUAGUAACUCUAAUAAUCCCACUCCACCAUUAAUGAACCACAUGGGAAGGCAGGCAAUGGUGGGGGUGCGAGGUGGUUCAAGAUUAUGUGAAAGCUGUCAAAAGCAUGAUACAACAGACAAUUAAAGUUGUCUAAUAAAAACUAAUCUGUUCUUUUUUUAUUUAAGGGUAUUCUUUUGAUAAGAAAUAGAAUUGAGCCUGGAUCAUCAUAGUCAUUGUUUCUUUAAUGCAAGUCAUUAUGUAAUUGCAAAAUAUUAUUAUUCUGAAUAGAGAAAAGUUUUCUUUCUUGUAAUUUCUGAUAGUUUAGAAAAAUAGUUGUCUAUUUUUAUCCAUAAAAAACCGACCUUACAAAAGAGUGUCAUUCUAAAUUGUAUUCCUCCAAGAACAUUAAACUUAAGGUCCUCACUCCUCACAUACUGUAAAAGAUUGUGAAAAUCCUUGUGUGAAAUCAUCAAAGUUUGUGAAUGCCCUAUAAAUUGUUCAAUAAUUAAAGAAAGGGAACAAAAAAAUACCUCCAACAAAAAAUAUUGAAUUAUAAUGAUUGAUAAACAUUGCAGAAACCAUAAAGACAAAGUUACCAUAGUUUCAGGAUAAAAGAUUUGCAGUAAGUCAGAGAAACACAGAACACACCAUAAACUCAAUAAAGAUCAAAUGAUGAAAAUUUUUAAAGAUCAUACACAACUACCCCAAACUCGUAACACAAGUGUAUGCACAACUCUUUAGCUCAGUGAUAUCUUCUAUCUUUUUCACCUAACUCCACUGGGAACACAGAAGAAAAAAAAAAGGGUUCUCUUCCUGCUUGGAAUUGACAUUCACAGGACGUCAACUUCAACACUCCUGCUAUUUGCACAAUCCUGUACCCCAACCCAUAAAAAUAAAAAAAUAAAAAGGACUUUUUGAAGCUUUUCUAACCUGACUUGAACAGAGACUAGGGCCAGAUAAAAAAGGACAUGAAGUGCAUUAGGAAUCUGGAGAAGGUACCCUUGAUGAUCCUUAAUAUUCCAUCUGAAAAAUUACUGCUUUUUCCAACAGGGAAGCCUUUUUGGAAAAUAUUUCUCUAUUGAAUCUCAAAUUGAGUUCAGUUUGAAGAAAGAAUUAGCACCAUCCUGAAAUAGAUUGAUAGAAAUUGACCCACUUUGCACCUGAAUUCUGAUGCCAAAUCCUCUACUUACUCCAUAGGACCCAUAGGAAUUAUAUCACCUUUUUCCAGAUUAAUUUUUAGACUAAAAUUCACAUCAAAACACAAUAAUGAUUAAUCAUUCAGCUACUGAGCGCAAACAAUCAACCUUUUCUUCUCACUCCCAUCCUGACCAUGAACAAUCAAUCCAAACUGAUUGAUCAUUCACAAUCACAAUGGAAGUGGGAAGAACAAUUGCUCGUUCAUGCUCAAUAGAUGAAUGAUUGAUCUGCAUCCUCUGGUGUUUUUUUUUUCUUUUUUUUCUUCAGAUUAAAAAAAUUGAAAAACCAGGUGCAGCCAUGGCAGUCUGGCAUGAUCGGUGGCAACACUUGACUGCACAACAGUCACCACCGACUACUACAUGUCUAGGCACUACCGCCAAUCACUAUGGACCGCCACACCCAUACCCUCUGGUUUUUUUUUCCUUUUUUUAUUUUUUUACUUCAUAUAAAAAAAAUGUAGAAGAAGAUGAAGGGGAACAGAAGGAAAGGAAGAAAAGGAAGGAAAAGAAAAAAAGAGAGAAAAGGGAGGUAGGGUUAGGGUUUUGGGUGGGUAGGUUAGGAUCGAGGUGGGGGUGGGGAAGAAAAUGAUGAAGACAUUUUUGCCCUUUCACAUUUACAUUUUAUUUGAAAUAUAUAUAUAUAUAUAUAUAUAUAUAUAUAUAUAUAGGUGGGGGUGAAGAGAGUAUUGAUGGGGACAGAUAACAUUGCUCAAUUGAAAAGGCACCUGUCUUCAUCUCCAAAAUUUCCAACACCCUCUUUCCCAGACCACCAACAAACUCCCAGCUAAACCUCUUGUAGCUAGAGCAAUCCAGUCCAAGAACCACCCCACAUCAAUGCCACUAACAUCUCUUUUUCAGCUUAUCUCUUGAAGAUAAACCAUAUCUGUAGGACCUUGAAAAAUAGCUUACCAUCCCUCUUCAUGUAGCAUAAUUGAAUCUACUAACACUCCAUGAGACUAUGCUAAUCCUCAAUCAACAACAGGAAAUAGUCCAACCUUGUUCAUGUUUUCUUCUUCUGUGAAUAAAACCACAAUACCCUUUACUAUCAUAACUAAUCAAACAUGACAAUUCAUGCUAUUCCUUCAUCAUUUUCAACAAUUUUGUCUUGUAUUGUUUUUUACAUGAAAAAAAAUAUAUAUAUAUGACUAACCAAAAAGACUAAAUACCAUUGAAAAUACAGAUCGAAGCCUCCAACUUGAACUAACUUAUUCAACUAUGCAAUAAUUGGCCAAAAGUUAUCCAAUCAGAUUUCAAAUAAUUAUAAGCCAUUAAAACAAAUCCAAAAUACACCCUAAUUUCAUGAGAGAGAGCGAGGACGACGAGGGUGGUUUUCGAGAAGAAAAGCGAGGUAGGAAAAAAAGGAAAGAGGGGAGAUUUGGGGUGGAGUCAAAGUUCUUCGAGAUCGGGGUGGAGGAGAAACAGGGCAGAUUCCAGGUUGUUAUUGAAGAGAGUAAGGGAGGGGUUUCAUCUUGGGUCCGUUUGGGGCCGCGGAGCGUAGAAGCUCUCCUGGAUAGCCUGAAGCAGUGUAUUAAGGCAGAGGAUAAGGGAAAAUGGGAAAGGGGUUGGAGGGAAAAUGGGAGAGUCUAUUCUCUGGUGCGGGAUGAGAAUAAAGCAGGUAUGUUUAUUAGAUUGGGGGUGGUUGAUAAGGAGAAGAGAGGUAUAAUAUUUUCAUCCCGAAAGGCAGAGGUGAGGGAGGGGGGUGGAAUCUUAUGGUGGAGAUGCUACAGAAGGUGGCAGGAAAUAAUGGCGUCAAAGAGAAAAAACAGGAGGAAAGGGCAAUGGUGGAAACAAGUAUGAAUAAGUCGUUUGUAGAAAUGGUGAAGGGGUCGGAGGGCAGGGGGGGUGAAGUGGUAAAAGUGGAAGUGAGAGAAGAGGAAAUCAGGGGCAAUCUGCGCAAACUGGAGUAUUGUCUCGUAGGCAGCUGGAGCCCUAGCUUAGCAAAUGGCAUGGAUAUGGAGAGGUUCGGUUGGUUAAUGGCGAGGACAUGGGGGUUGCAGGGUAAUUUAGGGCUGGCAAGGAUGGAAACGGGUAGAGUCCUUUUGGAAUUUCAGCAUGUGGGUGAAGCCGAGCGUGUCCUUGCCUAUGGAAGCAGGCGGGUGGGAGCCGUCCAGUUAGGGCUGGAACGAUGGCGACCUAGGUGUGGGUGCGAAGACGAAGGUGGGAGCAGGAAGGAAGUGUGGGUAAAGAUUUUAGGACUUCCAGUUUCGUUAUGGGAUCCGUCCAUUUUGCGGAAAGUGGGGGACAAAUGUGGAGGGUUUGUAGCCAUGGAUCCCCUGACGGAGAAGAUGGUGGACCUGGAAGGGGCUCGAAUCCUUGUUAAGAGGAAGAAUGGAGGCUUGCCGAGCAGGGUAGAUAUAGUGGUGGAGGAGGUUUGCUACUCACUAUACCUAUGGUGGGAAGUGAGGCCGGAGAUGAGGAAGUCGAUCUCUGGAAGUAGCUUGAAGGGAAUCUACAGAGAGGAGGUCAGGGGUGACGCUAUGACACGCGCUACCCAGCGCGUAGGAGAAGAGAGAAGCGCUAGGCCCGAGGCGCUGCUGCGGACUGCUGAUGGGACAGAUGAGCAGGUCAGAGGGGUAGUUGGAGAGGGGACUGGCGAGCGGGUCGGAGCAGGGUAUGGGGCCCGGGUUUCUGCGGAGUUGGAUCAGGUGGAUAGGCUUCUCCACCCAGGCCCAUCUUCAGGUAGGACGUUAUAUCCUAAGGCCCAAAGGGGGGAGAAAAAGGGCCCGAGCCCAUUAAAAGGGUUAAAAUUAAAAGGAGUGGUGUCUGAGGAGGCUGGGCUUGGGAUUGGGCCGUCCUAUUCAAAGUCAGAUUGGUGGAUUGGGGUUGGUGAGAGCCCAGGUCUGUUUAGGAGCAAUGGAGGGGAGGGGGAUCAGUUAAGCCCGUUACAGCCUGAGAGCAGAAAAGGGAAGCCAGAGAGGGGCUCCAUCUGGAAGCGGGGGGAUUUCAGUGAGGGAAGAAAUAGAGAAGAUGAAUUUCUCAAAAUAAGAGAGAAGGAAGACGCAUGGAAGCAGCAAAUGGUUCCGUCCCACUCAGUGACCGAUUGGGCGUUAAUUGCAGAGGAAUUGAGGUAUGGGUCUGUUCUCAUUCAAAGGGGGGGUAGGGACUCGGGGUACCCGUCUUCUUCUUCUCACUCUUUUGAUCGGACUCCGGAGGGGGAGUUUUACGAUCAUUCUGGGGUGGCAUGUGAGGUGAUUCAAAAUGAAAUCCCGCUGAAUACAAUCAAACCUGUCGUGAAUGGUGGUGGGAGAUGGGAAUUGGCCGAAAACAUCACUGUGAAUGAUAAUGACAAGGAGUGGGAGAAAGGGUCAAUGCUGACAGUGUCUCAAGAAGCUAGAGAGGAAAGGGAGAAUGGAUGGGAGGAGUGCAAUCUGGCCAAAUUUAGCCAGUUUUUAGGCUUCCCGAUAGAAGGAUUGGAGAAGGAAAUCGUGAAUUUCCUGGCAAAAAUCAGAAAGAGAAGAGAAAAGAUAUACAGUAGAGGUGUUUUAGAGAAGACAAAGUUUGAAAGGGAACUGAAAAGGCUUGAAUGCUCAAUAAACUACGAGGGAGGGAGCAAGCAGAGAAGUUCUUCUCAGGAUAGAGGGUGCCAGCUUAUAGAAGUUAAUGAAGAUUAAGAUCUUAUGUUGGAAUGUGAGGGGAGCAAAUGAUUGCUCUAGGAGGAAAAUAAUUAAAGCUGUUGUGAGAAGUCAGAAAGUAGACUUACUUUGCAUCCAGGAAACGAAAAUUAAUCUGAUGUCCGAGUAGGUGGUUAGAAGCAUAGGAGUGGGAAGAUUCUUAGACUGGAGGGCUGUGGAUGCUUCGGGUACGGCAGGAGGUAUUCUGGUCUGCUGGGAUAAAAGGUUGCUGGAGCUGUUGGAUUGGGAGGAGGGGCAAUUCACUAUUUCUUGCCGGUUUAGGAAGGUGGAAGAUGGGGCUGUCUGGGUAUUCACGGGGGUGUAUGGUCCGUUCACCAAAAAUGAAAGGGACUGUAUGUGGGAUGAGAUAGGGGCUAUCAGAGGGCUAUGGGAAGAGCCCUGGUGUGUAGGGGGAGACUUUAACGUCAUUCGCUCUCAGAAUGAGAGGAAUAGGCAAGGGAGAAUUUCUGCAGCAAUGAGGAAAUUUGCUCAGGUUAUAGAUGAGUUAGGCCUGAUUGAUCUCCCGUUGCAAGGAGGUGAUUAUACGUGGAGUGGGGGGCCAAAUAAUCGUUAUUGGGCCAGGUUGGAUAGAUUUUUGGUUACCCCAAGUUGGAUGGAUCAAUUUAGCAGUGUGAUUCAAAAAAGACUGCCCAGGCCAGCUUCAGACCACUUCCCGGUAGUGCUGGAGGGUGGUACUGUGAGACGCGGUCCUUCCCCGUUCAGAUUCGAAAACAUGUGGCUUAAAGUAGAUGGGUUUCAAGAGCUAAUCCAUAGCUGGUGGCAGGGAAUAGAGGUGAGAGGAAGUGCUAGCUUUAGGUUGGUUACAAAAUUGAAAGUAGUGAAACAGAAGCUUAAAGAGUGGAAUAGGGAAGUGUUUGGGAGAUUGGAAGACAAUAAAGCUGCUGCCCUGCAGCUUGUGGAUCACUGGGACAGGGUGGGAUGUGAGAGAAGACUAUCAGAGGAGGAAACAGAAUCAAAAAAGGAAGCAAAGGAUAGUUAUGCUAAGUGGGUCUCUUUGGAGGAAACUCAUUGGAGGCAGCAUUCCAGGGAGUUAUGGCUGAGGGAAGGGGACAACAAUACAGGAUACUUCCAUCGUAUGGUGGCUGCACAUCGUAGAUUCAAUCAUGUGGACAGAAUUAAGAUAGGUGGGGUGUGGCUGACUGAGGAAAAGGAUGUGAGAGAAGGGGUGGCCAAUGCCUUUCAGCAUUUACUUACGGAAAAUUCAGAUUGGAAGGCGGACAUAGCAAGGCUGCAGUUAGAGCAACUAAAUCAGCAAGAGGCAGAGAACUUGGAACAACCUUUCUCUGAAGAGGAAAUUCAUAGUGCCCUGAUGGAGAUGAAUGGGGACAAAGCCCCAGGACCGGAUGGCUUUACUAUGGCCUUUUGGCAAAGAUGCUGGGUUAUAGUGAAAGAAGAGGUUUUGGAGAUGUUUAAAGAGUUCUAUGAGCAAAGUGCCUUCAUCAAGAGCAUGAACAGUACAUUUUUGGUCUUGAUACCCAAGAAGGGGGGGGCUGAGGACCUUGGGGAAUUCAGGCCAAUCAGUCUCUUGGGGGGGCUGUACAAACUAUUGGCCAAGGUCUUAGCCAAUAGACUGAAAAAAGUGAUAGGGAGAGUAGUAUCCACUGAUCAGAAUGCUUUUGUUAUGGGGAGGCAGAUCCUUGAUGCCUCAUUAAUUGCAAAUGAAGCAAUUGAUGCAUGGCAAAAAAGGGGAGAGAGAGGUCUCAUUUGUAAGCUGGACAUAGAGAAAGCCUACGACAGCCUAAAUUGGCCGUUUCUGAUGAAAGUCAUGAGAAAGAUGGGGUUCGGUUCAAGGUGGCUGGGAUGGAUGUGGAGUUGUAUCUCCACAGCCAAAUUUUCGGUGUUGGUGAAUGGAGUGUCGGCCGGUUUCUUUCCAAGUUCUAAGGGGUUGAGGCAAGGAGAUCUCCUCUCUCCCUAUCUCUUUGUGAUGGGAAUGGAGGUGCUGAGCAAUCUAAUCAGAAGGGCUGUUGAAGGGGGCUUUUUGUCAGGGUAUAGGAUCCGAGGAGGAGGAAGGCAGCCAGUGCAUGUUUCCCACCUGCUCUUUGCGGAUGAUACUAUAGUUUUUUGUGAAGCUAGGAAGGAGUAUCUAACUUAUCUCAGUUGGAUUCUGUUCUGGUUUGAAGCCGUGUCAGGAUUAAGGAUUAAUUUGGAGAAAAGUGAAUUAAUCCCAGUUGGCGAGGUGGAAGAGAUGGAGGAGAUGGCAGCGGAACUGGGCUGCAAAGUGGGCUCUAUGCCCUCUGUGUAUUUGGGGCUGCCAUUGGGGGCCCGUAACAAGAGUGCAGCCGUGUGGGAUGGGGUGGAGGAGAAGAUGAGAAGAAGACUAGCGCACUGGAAACGGCAAUAUAUUUCCAAAGGUGGGAGACUUAUUCUCAUUAAGAGUACGAUGGCUAGCAUACCUUUGUACCAAAUGUCUCUUUUCUGUAUGCCCAAGUUGGUCGCGCGAAGAUUAGAAAAAUUGCAAAGGGAUUUUCUUUGGGGAGGAGGAAAUUUAGAAAGGAAAGUGCACAUUGUUAAUUGGAAGAUUGUGUGUACGGAGAAGGAAAAGGGGGGGCUUGGCUUAAGGAAGCUAGUCCCGUUAAAUAAAGCUUUGUUGGGGAAAUGGAUUUGGAGGUUUGCUUGUGAAAAGGAAAAUUUGUGGAGACAAGUACUUGUGGCGAAAUAUGGGCAAGAGGGGUUUGGUUGGAUGACCAAAAAGACUAAUGGGACUUUUGGAGUAGGGGUUUGGAAGGAAAUUAUGAAGGAAAAGGAUUGGUGUUGGGAGAAUAUGGCUUUUAGGAUGGGGAAUGGUACCAGAAUCAGAUUCUGGAAUGAUCUUUGGUGCGGAUGUACAGUGCUGUCCCAAAGGUUUCCUCAUCUAUAUGGGAUGGCUGCUCAUAGGAAUGUUACAGUAGAGGAUAUGUGGGACCAGAAUGUGGGCCAAGGUGAUUGGGAUGUAAGAUUUGUGAGGAGAUUUAAUGAUUGGGAGUUGGAUUUGGUAGGGAAUUUGCUUCAUACAUUGAGGGGGUUCAAUCCUACUUUAGAAGAGGAUGCUGUUUUUUGGAAAGGGAGGAAAAACGGAAAGUUUAAAGUUAAAGAAGCCUAUAACUUGGUGGUAAAUUCUAUGGCUAACAAUUUUCCGAAGAACAACAUUUGGGUGGAUAAAGUUCAAACAAAAAUUUUGUUUUUUGCUUGGGAAGCUACUUGGGGCAAGGUGCUCACGCUUGAUAGGCUCCAGAGAAGAGGGUGGCAUCUCCCUAAUCGGUGCUUCUUGUGUGGAUGUGAAGAGGAAACUGUAAAUCACAUACUCAUACAUUGUAUAGUGGCAAGAGUCCUGUGGGAUAUGAUAUGUGCUUUGGUUGGUGUUAAGUGGGUCUUUCCAGAAACUGUAAAGGAGGUCCUAUUAAGCUAGAGGGGCCCUUUUGUAGGGAAAAAAAGGAAAAAGAUAUGGAAGUCUAUACCGUUGUACAUCUUUUGGACUCUUUGGAAAGAAAGAAAUAGGCUUGCUUUUAGGGGGGGGGGGGGGGGGUGUUAGAUAUACAGAAAUUAAAAAAUUCUUUUGUCUGUAUGUUAUGGGGAUGGGCGAGAAUGUAUAGUGGAGAGAGGUCGUUGUCUCUUAUAGGAUCCUUGGAGUGGAUAGCCGCCAUAUAAGGGCUGGUGGGCUUUUUGUUGUUUUUUGUUUUCUCUGUGUUUUUUUGAGGCUCUAGCUAGUUUGUAUACUCCCUGUAUGCGUGUGGCUUUUUGGCCUCUUUUCAAUAUAUUAUAUGCUUACUUAUCAAAAAAAAAUAAUUAUAAGCCAUUAAAUGUUGGAUCAAUUAUAAACUAAUUCAUAAAAUAUGGUUAUUUAGCUUUCCAUUUUUUAUAAUAUUAUUUCAAAGAGUACAUGUAUAUUAAUCAAUUGUAACUUGAUUGAAUUCACAAAAUGAAAAUUUUGGUUUCUUAACUUACAUUUACUGUCAUCUCUAUUUUCUUUCUCUCAUAAUCGUCUAUGCAUUUUUUUUUUUUUACUAAAAUAGCACCAUUGAAUAUAUAUAUAUAUAUAUAUAUAGGAUUAUUUUACAUAUUUUUUAUUCAAAAAUUUAAAGUCCACUAAUCAGCUUCAUGAAUCAGAGUAGAAGAUCUGUCUAGAAAGAAAUCAUGCUUACUCAUAAGGUCCAUGAGUGAAAAGUCCAAGAAUAGGACACCAAGGAAGAACUGCUACUGGCUGCUGAAAAAUAACACAAUAUAUAAGAGAAAUAAGAAAGAUGGUUUAAGAAACCAAUCACAAUAUUCAUUGAUAUAAUUUAAAAGAACAUGUAAAUAACCUUGAAUAUCUAUGGAUUACAUAAAUCAAAAAGUUGCAAUCAAGCGCAUAAUGCAACCAAGAGGAGGUAUAAGGAAGAUUAGGAGCAUGGAGAUGUGUCAAAUCCCUCACUUGCUAAUCUUAAACACUCCAAUGAAACACACCAACCAUGUUCCAUGUUUCCAACUCAGGUUAACACAGUGCUACUGGGGAUUUAACAGAUAUGCGUGGAUUAGACUCUAAAAGUUAACUGUUUUGCUCUGUUUAAGUUGCUUCUGAAACAGAUUUUGCUAGUAGUGGUUAACAACAUGGAAUUAAAGAGCAAUAACAAGCUCUGGCCUAAAGAAAGGGGCCUUUAUGGGCCAUAGCCUCUUUGGCAAAAAUGAAACCCCUAAGGGCUGAUAAGCAGGCCUAUAAAGUCCAAACAUUCAUUUUCUCUAAACCCCCUUCUUUCCCUAAACAAGUCGCAAGUGGAUGCUAGUUCUAAAAGUCUAGUGGCCACUGAGUUCAACCUCAAGUAGAAGACAGAUAUGAAAUCCUCUGGUUCCGUUAGUUGAUAGUGGCAAGUCUCCCUAGCAAUAGUACAACACAUUUUUAAAUGGUGAGUUUCACUGACAAGAGAUUUUGAGAAAAAGGCUAUUGGAUAUGAAAGACUGACCCCAUUGUAGGGGGAAAUAAGAGAGGCAAGAACAACACAAAAGCUACGACGAAAAAGAGGAAAAGAAAAGGCUUAGUCUAAGACAAGUUUGCUUCCAGAACAAGGCGAGCAAUGAAAAAAUUAUGCAAGUGAAAUUCUAGUUAACAUGAUUUAUUCCAUGAAAAGGAAUUUAAAAAUCUAAAUAGCUUAGAUUAUUAGAAAUCAUCAUUUUGAUGGCUUACAAAGGAAACCACAAACUAAGAAAAAAAUAUAAACAAAAAGUUUACUCAUUUCUUAAUCUAAUUAACUCAAAUCCUCUUACUAUAACUAUAAACCAAAUAUAAAUCAAUUAAGUCUCCAACUUUCCUAAACUAAAAGAUUGUGAUGAGAUACAAAUUCCAAAGAUUUCAUUCACACUCGCAAUGCAGUAUUCCAAAAAAAAACUCUCCAACACCUGAUAGGUUAACAUUUUUCAUGAAUUUUGUGUUUGGGAAAAUUCCAACCUUUCUCAUGUGACAAUAGUCUCAAAAUAAGUUACAAAGCAAAGUGAACGAUGAAAGUAGAUAUACAAAUAGCAAUGACCAAAUAUUCAAGUACACAUCAUUCUUUUCUGCUCACUUUAAAACAGAGAAAGAUUUUAUGGAACUUCAACACCAUAGUUUUUAAAGCCUUUUGAAGUUUACUCUAAGGCUCAUCCUUGAGACUUAAGGGGACUAGAAACAUACAUUUAAAGGUGAAACGCUCUUAUGAUCCAACGUGCAAUUCACACACACCUUCAAAACCACUUUAUAUUUGAGAUGCCCACUUCAAAUUGCAACCAAAUUUAAUCUAUUAGAUUGUUCAAUAAUUGUUUGAAGACCCAUAAUGACCAAAAGAAGUUUUGACACAAAUUAUGUUCAAACCUUUAAUAUAUUUUUGCUAGGGAAGUGAUUGUGGAGGGUAAUUAUGGAGAAAUCAUUAUAGGCAAGUUUGAGGAGGGGAAAGGGAAUUUGUUUUCUAGCGCAGAAAGUGAGAUUUUGGGAUGGAUCUUUGGAAAGCCAUUAAUGAAGGUUGGGAAGGAUUUCUUGCUAGAACAAGUAUUAAGAUAGGGAAUAGGCAAAUAACUAAGUUUUGACAUGAACAGCAUGGGUGAAGGGGCUUAUGUUGUGAACUUGUGGGUGGAAGGUAUAAACAAUAGCCUUUGGAUAAAAUGGUGAUGGUCUUUUCGUUGAUACAAAAUGUAUAAUAUACACAACAAGGAGAUUAAUCACAAAAGGUAAGUCAUAGUACACAAAGUCAAUAACCAUGAAUAUGAAGAAGUAGAUGUGAUCCACAAUUUGCAAUUCCUUGAUUAUGAGGUUAUCUUAGAAUUGUUGGUUGAUUCAAUUUCUUUCCUCAUAUGCAGCCAUAGCUGAAGAAAUUGAUGUUGUGAGAGGGCCUCAGUAUGCAUCAGCAAGUUAGUCCAUAGUGAAAAUAUGGGAAACACUUAAAACUACCCUUAGGGACUUGAUCCUUCACAAAAUGAAAACCAAUUGCUAUGUGUUUCAUUUUAUGAAUGAAAUAUCAGAUUGGCAGAAAGAUAGGAGGCACCGACAUUGUUGUGGUAUAAUGUUGGAGGUGCCAAUAGAAGAAAAUUUUGAACCCAAUUAAGCUUGGCGGCAAUGGAAGCAACCAUUCAAUACUCUGCUUCAAUAGAGGAACAUGCAGCAAUUAUUUGUUUAAGAGAACACCAAGAAAUUAGAUUUGCACUCAUACCCAAGCAGAUGAUGUAGGCAUUAGCUAAGGUGUGAUCAUUCCUAUUUCUUGCCUAAUCAACCUCAAAGAAGGCAUGGAGCUGGAGAGGAGUGUUCUUGUGUAAAAGCAAGCCAUGAAACAAGCUGCCCCAUAGACAGUGUAGCACCCUCAUAAUGGUUAUGUAACGAGCAACUAUUAGCUUGCGCAUAAAUUGGGACAACUUGUUGACUACAUAUGAGACAUGAGGCCUUGUGCGAGACAAAAAUUAAAGAGCACCAAUGAAACUUCAAUGAAAGGUGGGGUCCACAAAAGUUGUCCCAUCAUGGAGUUGCAAAGGAAUCACAGUGGAGAGAAGAGUAGAGGUUAUCUUGGCACCUAACAAUUUAAUUUUCUCCAAUUAGUUUUAAACAUAUUUAUGUUAGCAUAAAAAGCAACCAUUGUCAAUUAGAACAACAUCUACACCAAGAAAAGAGUGCAAGUCACCAAGAUCCUUCACAGAAAAAUCUUGUUGACAAUGCUUUAAUCAACUAUUGAGCAAUGAUGGCAUAUUCCCUAUCACCAAAACAUCAUGAACAUAUGCAAGCCCAUAAACAAUAAAAAUGCCACAUGAGUAAAUAAAACGAGGGUACCAAACAUGGAAUUGACAAAGCCAAAGUGGAGAAGAAAUCAACUCAAUUCUUGAUACUAUGCUAUGUGCCUAUCAUAGGCCAUGGAUUACCAUUUUGAGCUUAUAUGUAUAAAAAGGAAAUUGUGAGUUAAUAAAACCUAGUAGUUGAGCUUGAGCCAUAAAACAUCACUAGAUAAUCUUCCUUGAAGGUUGUGUGAAAAUCAAUUCCAGGACAUCGAUGAAAACCUUUAGCAACAAAUCUUACUCUAAUACCAUAUAAGCAAUAGCCUUUGGAUAAAACGGUUGUUAUGUUUUCACUGAAAAUGAAUGUUUAAUAUAUACAUACCAAGGAGAUUACAUAUCACAAAAUAUAAGUUAUAGUACACAAAAACAACAAUAACAAUGAAUAUAGAGAAACAAAUAUGAUCCACAAUUCAUGAGUCCUUAAUUAUGAACAUGUGCUAAAGUGGGUAUUAACUCAAUUUCUUUCCUUAUAGAAGGAAGGGAGAAUCUUAAUUGAUCACCUAGGUUUAGAAGCAACUUUUCGAAUUAAGAGCUAGUCUACGUGGAGUCUUUACCGUAGCUUUCUCCACCAUUGGACAAAGCCUUAAAGGAUGGUCUUUUCUUUAUGAGGUCAUUUUAUGUUUUUAGGCUCCAGCAAUCUUACUUCUUUUCUAAGAAAAUUUUGGCUUAAGUUGGUCCUUUAAAGAUGUGUUUCUUUUUGUAGGAGAUAUAACAAGGAAAAAUCUUCCUUAUAACCAACUCAUGACCAACAAAUGAUUCCUUAUGAACCAUUAUUGCUUGUGGAAAGAGGAGUCAAAAUCCAUUGAUCACAUUCUCCUUCAUUGUGACAAGUGAAGGAUAUUAUGAUGGUGUAUUCUAUUUUCGGUAUUCAAUGGGUUGGCUUUGCUUUAGUUAGGGAGGUUCUACUAGGAUGGUACAACUCUUUCAUAGGUAGAAGACGCAUUAAGGCCUGGAGAGCGACUUCAUUAUGUAUUUUUUUGGACUAUUUGAAAGGAAAUAAACAAAAAAUGUUUUGAAAGUAAGGAAAUGUUAGACCAAAGACUCCAAAGCAAUUUCCUUAACAACCUAUUUCUUUGGGUUAUGAUGUACAUAGGUGGAGGCUCUAUGCCUUCAGUUGACUUCAUAGAUUGGUUGGGCCAUUGUUGAGGGAGGGAGUAUUUUUUUUUUUGUUUCCCCUUUUUACUAUUUUGCCUUUUGGCACUCAUUGUAUACAACACAUGUACUUUUGUGCGCUUUAGCACUACUUAACACACUCAAUUAUUUAUCAAAAUAUAUAUAUAUAUAUAACUUAUGGAAACAAAAGAAAGAAAAAGUUAAUCACAUCCUCAUUCGCUAUAAGUAGGCUACCAAGUUGUGGUAUUUUUUUUCCUCCCUUCUUAGGGUUAGUAAGGUCCUUAGAAGGAUUAAAAGAGCUUAUACUUGGUUGGCAUGGUGGCCUUAUAGGCAAAAAAUGCAAGAAUAUGUGGAGCAUGCUACUUUAUGUUUAUUUUAAGAUAUAUGGAAAGAGAUAAGUAGGACUUUUGAAGGUCUUGACCAUUCAAAGAUGACCAUUAUAUAUCACGUCCUCAAAUUUGUCUUCUUGUUUAGAGGAGAUUGCAAGAGAAAAACUACUCUUUGUUUCUAGACUUCAUUGUUGUUUGAGUUUAGAGCAUGAUAGGUUUAGCCUUUCUAAAUUUUUCCCUUUUAUACAAUUUGUUUUCUGAUUGUAUGCUUGGUCGUUCCUACUUUUUUCUUCACUGAGGUUUUUGAUGCUCUGAAGAUUGAAAGAAUAGAAACCUGACCUAGUCUUCUAUUUCAAUCUCAAAGGUAAAAGGAAGGACAUAGACAAAAGGGGAGACAUGGACAAAGAUCCAAUUGGAUCUUUGUGAUAAUAAAAUUUGCAUCCUAAUCACUGAUUUUUAUUUUCUCACAAAAUCACAAAUUUGAAAAGUGAUUCUUAGUCAAUCACAAAAUUGGUUUGCAAUAUAGUUAGAAGGAAACAUGCUUGGCAAGUUUUGCAAUAGAUGAUUUUUUUUCCCCUCAUUGUUGAUAUCUUUUUCAAACUCAGAAGAAUUUGGAAAAAAGCUCAGCAUAUUCUUUAGCUUGCCGGAAAGAGAGUCCAUAAAGCCACUACAAAAACUCCUAUCGAUCAAUAUUAUCAUAUUUUUUUCCAGCAUUUAUAAUUUUAUCAAAGAUAAACAUUUGAAGUCAAUAAGUGAUUCUAAAGCCCACUAAAAAAAGAAGUAAUUUUUAAACCUGAAAAGGUUGUUUAAAACUAAAGAAGGAAAGUCAACAUGUAAUAAAGAUUCCAAAAAUUAAAGCUUUGAGCAAUUAUAACACAAUUAUCUUUUUCAUAAUCAUUCUAAAAAUCCUAUUACCCCACGAUUACUUGAAAGAAUUGCUCGCGUCUUAAAUACAUUAGAAAGGAAUUAAGAGAUUCUUUCAUUAUUGUCUAUUAGCUUCUUUGAGAAGUAGAGAUCUAUAUUGGCUUGCUCAUAGACAAGGAAGGUGCAUACUCUUUGCAAACAUGGUAUUUUCUUCUAGGUGAAUCAGUUAAUUGGGAGGCUAUCAGUUUGGCCAAGAAAGAAGCUGAGUUUCUAGAGAUCUUUAGUAAGGAUACUUACCUUGGUUGAUUGUUUUAACAUUUAGGGUACCUACCCUUAAAGUGGUUCCUACCCUUAAAAACUUUAAGGGAUGUUCACCAAUCUUGAGUGCUCUAACACAUAAGAAGUGAAGGAAUAAAAAGUAGAAAAUGAGCACAUAUAGGCUUCACAAGAAGUUAAUUGUAUUGGACCUGAACACAAUUGAUUGGGUGAAGAUUAUCCAAUGAGUUUAAUUAUAUAGGCAUCAAAGCAUUGAUAUAAAAACACAUAAAAGAAAGUAAAACUAUAUGAUAUAAGGAUUGUAAUAGAAGUAUUUUUAGUACUUUAAUACUAAAUUGGAAAAUAGAAAAAAAAAAUAGGAAAAAGAAAGCAAUAUAGAAAAUAUUAUCUAUUGAAACAAAUUAAGAAGAGGUAUGAUGAACACUUUUAGCAUAAUAUUUAUGUAUGAAAAUGAAAUAUCCUAACAUAAAUUAGUCCUUACUAACUAAACCUACAAAAAGACAAACAAUAAAACAUAUAGGAAUACCACAUACUUCAAUAUAACACUCUUACACAAAAUAAAGCUCAUCAAUUCUAAUAUUUUGAUCUAUUCAUGAUCCAUUUCUUUGUAAGCAAUCUCAAGUUUCAUUUCCUUCGAAGUUCAAGGCUCUUUUCCCAAGUAGGCUGUGAUAUCUUCCCCAUGUGUUGUGUUUGUUACAUUUAAGGGCUCUUCAACUAAUGGUAGAUUCCUCUUCCGUCUCCGUUCCCCUCCUUACUUGCAGUAGGGCAUGGACCUUCAACCAUAGUUUUCAACCCAAAAGAAAUAUUUGUAAAUGAAAGGCUACAACUUCAUUGGGUAUUCUUCAAAAUUAUAUACACCAUUUUGUGAAAGCUUCAAGAUGAAAGAACUUAAAAUUGAUUCUUGGCAUAGAUAAUUGACCUUGAACAAUUUUAUAAGCAAAAAAUUAUCCGCUUGUUUUUCAUGCAAAGACUAACAUCUAGAUAAAUGGGGCACAUCCCAUUUCAUGCACAACCCACGUUUGUGUGUUUAUGUUUAUACAAACAAGUACGUGUAAACACAAGGGCAUGCAAAUGCAAACAUGCGCACAAACACACACAUUAGAUGUAUGCAAUCCUUAUGUAUCAAUGUCCAGGCGUACACACACAUGUGAACACACACCUUAGAUUUAUGUAACACAAAAACGUGAGUGUCCAUACAUACACAUAUUAGAAUAACGAACAAAAUAAAAUUCAUUAUGAAUGAACUUUUAUAAAAAUAUCAAAAUAAGAAAGUAAAACCAUAAUAUCAUUAAAGAGAGAUAGAGGUGUUAUGAUAAUAGAUCCAAACUUCUAAUGCCACAAGAAACUAAUUCAACUAAAAGGAAACAAAAAUAUGAGAACAAAAUAAAAAUGCAUGCUUUUACCGCUUCAACCAAAAACUGAGCCUGAUUCUCAUUGGUUCUAUUUUGGGUACACUGGCCAUUUGAAAACCGCCAUUCACCAACUUCAAUUACUCUGCAAUUAGGGCAUCUCAUGAUACCCCUUGCAUUAAAUUCAGAACCAAUGCAAUCUGAAAAAAUGGUAGAGAGAAAAUUAAAAUAAAAUAAACUAAAACGAAAUAUAAAAUACAAAAAUUAAGAAAACACAAGAAGCUCAAAACACCCAAUAUAUCUGAUAUCAAACAUCCUGCAGUCCCUCCAAAGAGGUAGACUGGUAUUUGCAGUUUCCAGCACCGGAGAUGUCAGAUUGAGAAUCCGGAAACCAAGGGGCAAAAGAAGGGAAAAACUCAGCACCAACAUUCAUUAGAAUUAUUGGUAACAGAUUAAUUGAUAUUCAGUAACCAUGUAAAUGAACAUUGUAAAAACACAGGAAACACAGUCAACUAGAAAAUGCUAAUGGUUGUCUUCUCCAAGAAGAAAAGUUCCAUCUAAAAACCUAAGCAUGUUCCAUCCUUUCCUGUUUUGAAUCAUAAAAAGGCUUUUGGGACAUUCCUAAGAUCAAAACAGCAAUUGUAACCUUCCCAGCCGUAUUGCUUCAAUUAGGGAAUGCCCUUUACUGCAUUGGAAAAUAGCUUGAGCUUGUAUAAACAUAUACAAUGAGAUGCCAAAGAGAGGGAAGGCCAUCUAUCUUCAAAUGAAAUAGCUGCUAGAAAAUUGGCAGUAGAAGAGUUUAAUGACUGGGCUGUUCUAGAAGAAACCACUUGGAUGCAAAAGCCCCAGGAGAUUUGGCUAAAGGAAGGGGAUAAAAAUACAAAAAAAUUUUACAAGACAUCCAAUGCUAGGCGCAGAAGAAAUCUCAUAGGGAGAAUUAAGAUAAAUGGAGAAUGGGUAAUGGAGGAAUUGAAGAUUCCAACAAAGACUGUUCAUCACUUCAAGCUACUACUUUCAGAACCAGUGGGGGAGUGGAGACCAAAUUUAAAUUGUCUGCUUCUCAAUUUGUUGAGCAAUGACAAUUCUGUCAAGCUGUAAGAAGCUUUCAUGGAGAAGGAGGUCUUUGUGGCCCUUAUGGAUCUCAACAGGGAUAAAGCCCCAGGUCCUGAUGGCUUUUCCUUGGCUUUUUGGCAAGAUUGUUGGGAGUUUGUGAAAGAUUCCUUUUUUAGACAGUUUUUGGAAAGGGGCACCUUUGAGAAGAGUUUAAACUCUACCUUUGUGGUGCUGAUUCCAAAGAAAGGUGGAGCUAAAGAUUUAAAGGAUUUUAGACCCAUUAGCCUUGUUGGUAGUCUGUACAAGCUGUUAGCCAAAGUCUUGGCUAAUAGAUUGAAAUUAAUGAUGGGAAAAGUGGUGUCAGAUUUGCAGAAUGCGUUUGUGGAAAAAAGACAAAUUUUAGAUACAAUCCUUAUUACUAACAAAGCCAUUGACUCAAGAUUGAGGAGCCGUAGAGGGGGGAUUAUGUGUAAAUUAGACAUAGAGAAAGCCUAUGAUCAUGUAAACUGGAGUUUUCUAUUUAUUUUUUUGUUGGAUAAAAAGCAAUACAUUAAAACAAGGCAAACCAGAAAAGAGCCCUAAAGUACAUAGGAAGUAUACAAAGGACGCAAAAAAACACCUCAGAAAAGAGCAAGAUACCGACAAAAAUAGCAACCCGUCAAACAGAGCUUAACCAAUCUACAAAAUCAAUAAGGGAAAAAGGGACAGAAACUAAAAACCCCUUAGCCCACACCUAAAGGUUACAAAAAAAAAAAAAAAAAAUACACCUUUGCACUAAAUGACCCUCAUCUUCAAACGCCCAGUUGUUUCUUUCCUUUCAAACUAUCCAAAAAAAGCACAAGAGAGCAGCCCACCACACUUUUUUCCUCUUCUUACCCACAAAAGAACCAUGCCAACCUAACAACAUCUCUUUAACUGAUAACAGAAGCAUCCACAACACCCUAAACAAAGAAAACAAUAAGUGUCUGAGACUCUUUGCCAUAUCACAAUGCGAGAGGAUGUGAUCAAGAGACUCUUCCUCUAAAAGACACAAGUAACAUUGUUAGCCAAAGGCCACUCUCUCCUCUAAAUCCGAUCCAAGAUUAAAACCUUAUUCUAAGCAACCUCCUAAGCAAAGAAGCCCACCCUCGACAACACCCAUGAGUUCCAAAUUACACUUGCAGGAAAAUCCCAUUAUCUUUCCAGUUUCAAAGCCUUAUAAAGAGAUUUGACAGUAAAUUUACCAUCCUUUGACUUUGUCCAUACCACCUAGUCUUCCACAUCUCUACACACCCUUCUUCCUUGCAAACUUUGGAAAAAACGCUCCAUAUCAUUCACCUCCCAAUCGUUGAGUCGCUUAGAAAAAUAGGAAUCCCAAGCUCCCUCUCUAGAAUAGUUCCAAACAUCUUCCACUUAAGACUCCUUGGACGAGAAUAUAGCAAAUAAGGAGGGAAAAGACGUGCACAAAGGAGCAUUGCCACGCCAUUUGUCCUUCCAAAAUCUAACCCUCUUUCCAUUCCCCACAAUAAAAGUCAUGUUGUCGUCCAUCACAUCCCAUUCUUUUUUGAAAACUUUCCACAAGCCUACUCCAAACCUUUCUCUCACUUCACUUGAACGCCACUCACUCUCUUCUUCCCCAUACUUCCCACAAAUAACUUGUCUCUAAAAGGCCUCCUUCUCCACUGCAAAACACCAACUCCAUUUGCACAAGAAGGCCUUGUUGAGCAACGCUAAAUUCCUCACUCCUAAUCCACCCUUACGUUUAUCAUAGCAAACAAUAGACCAUCUUACUAAAUGAGGCUUCCUCUCAAGGACCCUUCCUCCCUAAAGAAAACCCCUUUGGAUUUGCUCCAACUUCAGUCUAACUCUCCUUGGAAUACAGAACAAAGACAAAAAAUAAAUAGGUAUACUGGAAAGAGUGUUUUGAAUUAAGGUAAGUCUACCCCCUUUAGAAAUAUACUGUUUUUUUCAAAUUGAUAAUCUUUUCCGAAGUCUUUCCUCCACGCCAUCCUAAACUACCACAUCCUUGAAACAAGCACCCAAGGGAAGACCUAAGUAAGAAAACGGGAACACACUAAGCUUGCAACCAAACUCUUCAACCAACUCUUCUACGUUCUCCACUUUCCCUACUGAAAUUAGCUCACUUUUUUCCAAAUUUACCCUCAAUCCUGACAUGGCAUCAAGUCACAUAAGUAACCAACUCAAAUAAGUCAACUGAUCUAGGGAAGGCUCACAGAAGACUAAUCUACGAACAACAAGUGAGAGAUUUCUACUCCCCCUCAUCCUCUAUCACUGAAACGCCACCUCAACAAAAAGCCUCCCUCAUUAGCUCUCUUCAACAAACAACUAAGGGUCUCUAUGACAAUCACAAAAAGGUAAGAGGAAAGAGGGUCCCCUUGCCUCAAACUCCGAGAGCUUUGCAAAACAUAUACAAUGUUCCAUUGAUAAGGAUAAAGAAGCUCACUGUAGAAAUACACCACUGAAUCUAACUGGUCCACUUAGCACCAAACCUCAUUUUUUCUAGCAUCCAAAAUAGGAAUUUCCAAUUACGUGGUCAUAAACCUUCUCGAUAUCAAGCUUGCACAGAAUACCACCACUAUUGCCUUUUUGCACAGAAUCAAUAGCCUCAUUAGCAAUCAAAGAAGCAUCAAGGAUUUGUCUACCUUUCACAAAGGCAUUUUGGGACCUGGAAACCACCUUUCCUGCCACCACCUUUACCCUAUUAGCUAAUACUUUAGCCAACAACUUGUAAAGGCUACCCACCAAGCUUAUAGGUCUAAAAUCCUUAAGAUCCUUAGCACCCCCUUCAUAGGAAUUAACACCAAAAAAAAAAACAUUAAUACUCUCCACAAAUCCACCCCGUUCAUGAAAGUCCUUAAGAAAUCCCAUAACUUUUUCAUUCAAAAAAUCCCAACUGAAUUGCCAAAGGGCCAUAGAGAAGUCAUCAGGACCAGGAGCUUUAUCCCCACUAAGAUCCGAGAGAGUACAAAAACUCUUUUCCUCAGAAAAUGAGACCUCUAACAUCGCUACAUCCUCACUUCCUUAAACCUCAACCGACAACUCAUCGCAAGUGGGUCUCCACUCCCCUGGUUCAAACAAAAAAGAGUGGAAGACCUGAACCACCCCUUCUUUGAUCUUUCUCUCCUCUGUUAACUAAGUCUCAUUGAUCUUGAUCUUCGCCAUGGAAUUUCCUCUCUUAUGGGCAAUGGCCAUUUUGUGGAGAAAACUAGUAUUUUUGUUUUCUUUUGUCAACCAUAACUCACUAGAUUUUUGCCUCUAAGAGGUUUCUUCCAUCAACACCCACUUCUUAUACUCCUCCAUGGCUUGCUUCCUAAGAUUCUCCUAUUUACCGGACAAAUCCCUAUUCCCUUUGACAGAAUCCCAAAACACCACCUGGUUCAAGGUUGACUUUUUUCUAGCAAAGGCAUUCCCAAACAUUUUUUGUUCCAAAUCUUCAUAUUAGCCUUAAUUGCUUUUAGUUUUUCAAAUAGAAAGAAACUAAAGAACCCUCUCAAAUAUAAACCCAACCACCAAGUUCUCAACAAAUCCUUAAAACCAUUAUCCUUUAACCACAUAUUUUCAAACCUGAAUGGGGAUGGAUCUUUCCUCAAGCCUCCACCAUCUAACAUAAUUGGGCAAUGGUCAGAAACAAGUUUAGGAAGAAGAUACUGAACAACCCCACUAAAAUAACAUUCUCGAUCCUCGGAGACUAAGAAUCUAUCCAAUCUUGACUGAAAUUAAUUGUUCAAGCCAUCCCUCCAUGUGAAUGAACCCCCCUACAAAGGGAGAUCUCGCAAUUCCAAGUCCUCAAUGACUUCUAAACAUCUUUUCAUUGUUGAGGUUGGCAACGGAGAAAGUCAAAUUUUGACAUGACAUGUGGUGUGAUGAUAUACCUUUAAAGGACUCUUUUCCUUCUUUAUUCACCUUAGGAGCUUCUAAGGAGGCAUGGGUGGAAGAUGUUUGGGAGGUAGAAGGAGGAAUGGUCACUUGGAACCCAUGCUUCUCAAGAAAUUUUCAUGAUUCAGAGAUGGAUGUUGUCCAAAUUUUAUUCGAAAACUUGAUGAGUUUGGCAGAAUUAGAGAUGGGAGGAUAAAAUGAUUUAGAAGGCUAGCAAGAGUGAGUUAUUUUCUGUGAGGUUUUUCUUUGUUGCAUUGAAGCGAAUGGUGAAGUGACUUUCCCCUCAAAGAUAGGAUAGGGAUCUUGGGCACCUACCAAAGUGAGUUUUUUUGCACGGGAAGCAACUUGGGGACAGAUCCCAACUAUGGACCAACUUAAGAGGAGAUGAUGGGUUUUGGUAGGUUUUUGUUGUAUGUGCAAAGAUGCAAAUGAAUCGGUAGAUCAUCUUCUCAUCCACUAUGGAAUAGUUAGAGAGUUAUGGCACUUUCUCCUCUUUUUUUUUUUUUUGGCAUCUUGUGGGUUCUCCCUUUUCCUAUUAAGUAUUUGUUAAUGGGUUGGCAUGGUAGCUUUGUGGGCAAGAAGAGAAUGAAGGUUUGGAGAACAACUCCUUGGAAGGAAUGAAACCGGGGAACCUUUGAAGGGAAGCAAUGCACUAUUCAAGCUCUUAAGGAUUCCCUAAUUACUAAUCUAUAUUUGUGGUCCCAAGGAUUUCUUCUUGGUGAUGAUCAGAGAGGUCCAUGUCUUUGUUAUAUUUAUAAAUUGGUUGUGCUCUAAGUCUUAAAAUAGGGUUGUAAUUAAAAUAGCCCGUUUUUGUUACUCAUUUGUAUACUUCCAGUAUACAGCACAUUAACUUGGCAUUUUUUUUUUCUAUAUAUAUUUAUACAUACUUUUAUUUAAUAAAAAAUAAACAUACAGUGAACCAUUCCUUAGCAACUACAAGCAACCAUCCAGGUGGCUGCAAGCCUGAGAAUGGGACCACGGCCAUUGCCAGAUGUCAUUGUCAUCCACCAGAGUGAACCCAAUUUUUUGUUUUUGGGACCCACCUCAAGAACUAGUUGAAGUUCGAGGGUCCACAAUAACACACAAACUGAGAUCAUAAUUCCUUACAGACCACCAUUGCAGCCACUUUCAGAACAGUCAUUUCCUCUCAAACAACUCAAAAACACCCAACCAGAACACAAGAAACCACCAUUGCACCCCCUCCAUAUCUUCAUUCUCUAAUAAAAAAAAAUCAGCAUCAAUGUCUCUAAAAAAUAAAUAAAUAAACCAAGCUAAAAUAAAACAAAAAAUCCCAAUUCAAAUUUCAACUAAGCUUUUGCUUCCCUUUUGAUUUCUUGCAGCCAAAACCAGCCGGCAGAUAUAAAAAUAAAUAAAUAAUAAACAAAAAUGGAUACAAAACAGGCUUUGACACACAGAAAAACGGCGGUUACUCACCCAGAUGGAACCGAUGCCCGCAGCCAAGCCGAACCACGGCUCGGGGCCCGUUCUCGAUGACUGGGUCGAUGCAAAUGGUGCAUAUGACCACGUUGUUGACGCUGUUACCGUUGUUAUUGCUCUCAUUGUUGUGGGUAUUGGCGGUGGCGGCCAGUGAGGCAUUUCCGGUGGGUUGUUGGGCCAUUGGAACAGUUGUUGCUUUCUUUGCUUCUUCUUCUUAAUCUCAACUCUAGAAAAGCUCCCAACUUCGAUCAGUGUAGUGGGUAGGCGGUUAUGAGUAAAGACAACGAGUAUUAAUACAGCCAACAUCUUCAAUGCGCCCCAGAAUCUCACCUCCUUUCUCUCCUCGUUGGCGUUUGCCAUAGCUAAUACCGGCAAAAGCUUCAGAUUUAGAAACGGCCUGGGAGGGAUUCGUACUGGCUCUCGAUCUCCUACGCUCCACUCCACCUUACUACCCUGACACCCUCAUCUCUGGUAGCCACGUGGCCACUUCUCUUGCGUGUCAUGUUCUGAUUAGUGGCUACUUCUUCGGUUCCGUGGGUUGCGCUGCGUGGAAUGCGGAACUCACCUUAAUGUCCGUUCUCACCCAAUAGAGUAACCAAGUAGCCUCAUCAAAUCCUAUUCACACAUUAUGAUUUUACAAUUCUCUCCUUGUCUUUAUGAUUAAAAAGAUAGAAUGCAGGGGUAACCGAUUAAAAAGCAUAAAAUAAGAGUGGGAGGUUAGAUUUGUAAUUCCACAGUGAUUUUAUGCCUUUUAAUGGGUUAUCCCCAGAAUUUAUGUCAAUAAUUAUUAAUUUGCCACCUGCAUUAAUGAAUUAAAUACCUAUUUUCUACUUUUAAGUUUGUGAAUUUAGUGUGUCUUUGAUAUUAUUCAUUGUAGUAUAAUUAUAUACAUACAUUAUUGAUAAAAAUAAUAUUAUUAUUUUUUUUAUAAUAUAAAUGUAAAAAUAAGAGCAGCAUCGUUUGGGCAACUCAUCAUCAAGCUUAAGAGCAGCAUCAAUCUCAAGAGCAACAUCAAUGGCCCCCAUCAUGACCAAACCUAUAAACCUAACUUUGAUAUUAAUUAUCGAUUUGAACUUUAACCAUCUCAUCUUAAAGCCAAUUGAUUAUAGUUGUCGUCAAAAUUGUGUUAAGAAACCCCAUUUAACCAAUUUAUCCUAUUAAUUUAAGGCAAAGCUUAUAUUAAGUGAUCAGGGUCACGAUUCAAUGAGUAAUCCAAAACCAAAAUGUAUCUACAAUUAAUGUGUAAGUUAGAAUCUUGUAAUCAUUGACAAUGGAUUCCAAUAAUGGUAAACUUUUUACUAGAAUCAAUACAUAUAUACUUGAUAUCGUGUUUUUACAUGAAAGAUAUAAGCAAACCAUUGCCAAGACCUUAUAUUUUUUUAACCUUUUACCAUACUUCGAGCUUGAACUUUAUCAUCAAAUAACAUGUUUUAGUAUUGCUAAUCUUUUUAUAGGUUUUGAACCAGUGCAUUGCUGUGUGAGGGUGCUCUACGUGAAUUUAGUUAUUAAGAAUAACUGCUCAAUAAUUGACAUAAUUUUUGAGAAGCAAAUAAAAAAUUAUAGUUUUAACUAAAACUAUAAGCACGAGCACAAUGAAGGAAGAUCGAAAUAUACACGUCAUCCUUUACAAAUAAAUAAAAGCAAUAAAUACAAAGUCAUAACAAGUCAAACAUCACCAACAAGUGAAAACCCAAUUACAAAUUACAAACCAAAUGUGAUAAUAAAAAUUAGGAUCUUAAGACUUUAUUAGAAAUGUAAAUAUUGGAUAUUUAAGUCCUAUAAAUUCGUAUAAUCGACUUGGCUACUACCUAUCAAACUAUUCCUCUAGCAACCUAUCACAUAGUUAUGGCAGACAUCACACAACACUGACCCUAAGCAAAAAAAUCUAAAACUAUUCUCUAAAGUAAUAUAUAAAUGAUAGUCAAACUCGAGCACCAUACAGUAAAAAGGUCGUCGAACUUAGGUACUAUGACACAAACUAAAUUCCAAGCUCCAAUACAUUAUAAAAAAAUGCUUCUUAAGACAAGACAAAAAGAUGGAUGAACUUAUAUUUUAAAACUUGAUUAAAAAUUAAGGUAUUAAUUUAAAAAAAUUUUAAAAUAUUUUUAAAGAUACAAGCUAAUUCUAUACUCUUUAUAUUAAAAUUUUUACUUUUCAUAUAGAAGUUUUUAUUUUUAAAAAUAAAGAAAGUUACGUGUACCCAAAAAAAAGUACUUAAAAUUUUUUAAGCAUAAAAGAAAUUUAUUUAUUUUUAUAUAUAAAAUAUAAUAUGAUUGGAAGUCUUGCGUGUGAAAUCUACAAUUAGGAAUAAAAGUCAAAAGAGGAAAGGACUUGAUUGGGAAUUAUAGAGAAAGAAGGACCUGUUUCCGUAAAAUCAGGCCAAAACCCUCUUGUAUAAAUAUCAAUGGUCGAAGCAACUAACAAACCCUCUCGCUCUCUCACCGCUCCAUCUCUCCCUGCGUUUUCGAUUCUGCUUUUUGGAGCGAUCAGAGAGAGACUUUGCUGCCACCAUGCUUGUCUAUCAGGAUUUGCUCACCGGUAAUCUCCUCUUUCUUUCUUUGUUUUCUGAUUUAAUACGCCUUCGAUUUUAUGCCUUUUAGGGUUUCUUUUUCUACUCCUAGAUCUGUAUUUGCUUUAGGGGUUUCUGGGCUGCUUUUGUGAUUUGAUUGGUGAUCUCUUUUAUCUCAUGUUCGAUUCUUUGUUUUGAAUGAUCUGUUGUUUACUUUUAGUUUACCUGUUAUUCGAUUCUCGAUUUUGAUUGGUUUGCUGUUACUUUUGGGUUUACUUGCUAUGUCUAGAUCUGCUUUCUUAAUUCUUGAUUCUCUACAGAUGUAAAAGUAAAGUAAGCUUUUUGUAUGGGGUUGUUUUAAUCCUUUACAAAAUAUAGAAGGUAAACCUUUUGUAUUGAGUUAUUGGGUUCACUAUUGGUGUUGCUGCUGCCUCUUGACGAGAUAAUUUGUUGAGUAUCAGUAUGCUUUUAUCAUUGGAAGCGUUUGAUGAGUAUACACAAUAACGAAAUUGUCUAUCUAGCUUGGUAUGUGUACCACCCAAUAUUCUUGAAACUUAUAUAUGCCUAUGUUGUAUGUAUAUGUAGUGUAUGGAAACCCUUUUGCCUUUAAUAUCAAGUUGGCUGUUAAGUGUUCACUGGAUGUUUAGUUUUGCUAUUGAUGGUAUAUGCCUGAUUCUGGCCCUAUAGGAAAAGAAGAGGGGGGUGGGGGGUGGGGGGUUGGGGUGGUUGUUGGGUUGGCACAUCUUUGUUUUUCUAUGUCCUGCAAAUCUGUUCAUUUAGGUGGACUGCUGUCAUUCAGUUAUUGAUCAUGAAUGCAUUCUUUGUUGUUUUCAGCUGAUGAGCUUCUUUCCGACUCAUUCCCAUACAAGGAGCUCUUCAAUGGAGCCCUCUGGGAAGUUGAAGGAAAGGUUAGCAUAUCUAACUUUGUGGUUCCCUUUAUAUUUGUUCCUUAUAUCAUGGCGUGCAAAAGCAAUCCUGUCAAAUUUUCAAUUUGAGUCCUAGAGUUUCGAAUAUUAAAGAUAAUAUACACUCUAAAAACGUGUUAUAUAUAUAGCUAAUCCUAUAUUGGUUAUUAAAUCGUGUUAGUGUCUAAUGUCACAAUUUAUGUAUUACAUGGUUUAUUCCAGUGGGUUGUUCAAGGAGCCAUUGAUGUAGACAUUGGUGCAAAUCCUUCGGCUGAAGGUGGUGAAGAAGAGGGUGUUGAUGAUCAAACUGUCAAAGUGGUUGACAUUGUCGACACAUUUAGGCUUCAGGUUGGUGCUGCCCGUUAAUCUAUAUUUUAAUUUUUGAAAGAGGAUAUUGAAUAUAUAAAGUAGCAACUAGAAUCUGACAAGUAAUGAGAUGUUCCUUUUACAGGAGCAACCACCAUUUGACAAGAAGCAGUUUGUCACUUACAUGAAGAGAUACAUCAAGUUGUUGACACCUAAGCUUGAGGGGGAGAAGCAAGAGGAAUUCAAGAAAAAUAUUGAGGGAGCAACUAAGUUCCUGCUGUCAAAGCUCAGUGAUCUUCAAUUGUGAGUGCUUAUUUGGUUGACUCUGAUGGCCUUCACUCUUUUGUAAUUUAUGGAUAAGCUCCUUACUGAGUCUUUUUUUACAGUUUUGUCGGAGAGAGCAUGCAUGAUGAUGGCUCCCUGGUAUUUGCUUACUACAAGGAUGGAGCCACUGACCCUACAUUUUUGUACUUCGGCCAUGGGUUGAAGGAGAUCAAGUGUUAAGCAAGCACUGGGCCUCAUAAGACUUAAAGGACAAGUUGCAUGCUGUAGUUCUAGUUUUUAUGGUUGCGAAUUUUUCUUUUUUACUUUUAUGUGUCCAUGACUAAAGAGGCAUCAAGC
rnacentral:lncRNA from 1 species